rnacentral:lncRNA from 1 species
CGGCCAAAGCAAGAACAAAGGAAGAAAAAGAAGAACAAAACCCUAGGUGGAAAAAUUCAAGGAAAAAGUGUGAAAAUUCAAGGAAACAAGUGAAAAAAAGGUAAGAUUUUUCAAUUAAGCUUGAGAUCUCUCUUUCUUAAGCAUUUUUCUUAUUUUUCAUGGUUUAAUCACAUGAAAUCAUGAUGGGUCUCUUGCUGGCCGAACACUUAGAGAGAGAUUUUGAUGGUUGAUUUAGUUAGAUUUCAAUGUAUUUUAGUGUUUUUAGUUAGUUAGUGAUGUGUAGUAUGAAAAGCCAACAAGAAAAAUUCACUUCCUCCCAUUGAAAAGCCAACAAGAAAAAUUCACUUCCUCCCAUCACUCAUCAUUGGCCGAAUUCUCCAUGUAGAAUAUUGAUGAUGAUUUUGAUUUUAUUUCAAGUGAUUUGGUUCAGAAUUAGUGAUUUAUGGUGUGAGAAUCAAGCUUGAAAAAUUAUAGUGUUGAUGCACCCACCAUGGCCGAAUUUUCUAAGAGAAAAUGUGAGGAUGAUUUUGCCAUAUUUCAAGUUAUUUAAUUUAUGUUUGAUGAUUUGGAGUAUUGGGAGAGAAAUGGAAUUAUUUGGAGUUGAAUUGGACGUAUUGGCCAAUUAAUCGGGUGAUAGAUCGAAUUAGGCCAAUACCAUUUUAUUUAGGUACAUAAUUAAAUUUAUAUUGAACACCAUAUUUAGAUAGUUACCCGAGUAUUUCACAUCCUAUUUCAUGCAUUAGUAUAGAGCCUAAAUUGGUUUUAUAACAAUUUAGCACAAAUGUAGUAAAUGGCUUAUUGGCAUUAUGUUUAAGUGGUGAAUCCUCCAAAAAAGGGCAAAGAAAUUGCACCCGAGGAUCAAUAGUCAGAGUACUCCGAAAUUCAAACUCCUAAUACAGUGAGUAACCUUAUUAUCGUCUUAAUUAUCUAAAGUAGUUUUAUUCGUUUUUGUGAUUUGAUAGAAAAAUGAGUUUAAAUGGUAAAUCUUUAUGUUUUAUAAGCAAAUGUGAUUAAAUGAAAUGAUUUUAUAAAAUUGUCUUGAGAUUGAAAGAUGGUUUUGAAAAUGGAGUAAUUGGAGACUAAUUGCUGUGUUAUAAAUCAUGGUUUGAAUUGAAUGGCUUAUGAUAAUAUUGGCAUGAAUGGUUGGAUUUGGUAAAUGUGCUGAAAAAGUAUGAACUAUUGAUUUGCCGUUAGAGGCUGUAAAAUGAAAUAAUUGCCAUGUCAUGCUGUUGAAUUUUAUUGAAUUGGUGGGUUAUAAUUGGUCGCUGCAGUGGACGGGUUUCGUGGAUCAGCCUAUUAGAAGGGCACAGUAACCCUAUUAUAUUCAUACCUCAGUAUGAGAGGCGUGGUUGGAUAACUCCUGAGGUUAAAACUUUAGAGUUCACUUCAUGCCAAACCACCACGUAAGGGUGAACUCAGCCAACGCCAAGGAACGGCUAUAUUUUCAAAAUAAAAACAUGAUUUAUGCGUACAUAACGUUUUAACAGCCUUGGCAGAGUCAGUUCGAAUAGCCCUCAGCCAAGGUAUCUGUCACAACCCGAAACUCCCAUUGAGCCCGUGACAACCGCCACGAAGUCUCGUCAAACAUUCUUUACCCAAAAUGCUGACCGAAACCUUGCCAGGCUUUCGUAUCAGUUUUCUUACCUCCCCUGUGAUCGACAGUAACUAAAAUAGUGUUUUGAAACGAUAUGGACCAUUUUCCCAUCCAAAAACAAUGAAAAUUUAUUUCUGUCUCACAAGAGUAUUUUAGUCAUUUUUUUUCUUUUCUUUUCCAAAUAUUCCAAAAUCUGUAAAAAAAUGUAAUAUGUAAGUGGAAACUCAUAUUUUAUGAUUUAAAUUAAAUUUUUAAGUCUAAAACAUUCGUUUAAAGUAAAAUUAUAGCUAUUUGAAUAUAAUAAAAACAUUAAAUAAAAUAUUCUAUUUUCUUAAAAUACAAUAUUUUCAAAGUCUUCCUAAAAUAACUUUUGUAGUGUAAGAGUAAAAUAAAUUUAUUCAUAUAGUAAUAAAGAUAAUUAAAGUAUGAAAUUUCGUUUACAGUGAUACAUGGGCCCCCAAUUGUCCAAGAAGGUGUAAGGCUACGAACCCUUACUUUUUAGGAUACAACUCCGAGAUUAAUUCUCGUCUUAAUCAACUAUCAACAAACUGUCCUGAGCCUGAAAAAUACAUAAAAAGAGGGGUGAGAUUACAUAAUCCCAGUGAGUAAACAAUUACCAUCAAAAGCAUCUAAAGUCGAGUAGACGGAGACAAUAUAAAAACGUUAUAUCUCAAUAAUGUUCAUAACGCAAAAUUCGUUUCAAUCUAUACCAAAUAAUUUCUUUUCAUCAAAAUUUCCCUGGUUUAUGAGUUUCUUAAACUUGGCCCUUGCCAAAAUCAUUCUCGCGGGUACCUUUGUCAAGGUAUCCCACUGAGACCGCCAAGGCUAUUAAAUGUCUCAUACCCAUAAAACAUGUUUUCGCAUCUGACACACAGCCAUUCCUUGGCGUUGGCUGAGUCUCAUUCUCACGUGGUGGCCCGAACGUGAGGUGCACUCAAAUCUUAUCUCAGCAGAUACUUUAUCUAACAUCUCCCCCCGGAGGUAAGUAUAUAAUUGGGUUACCGUGCCCCUCUCAUCGACAGUCCACGAAAACCCCCACCACUGCAGUGACCGUUUAUUAUACCACUAGACCCAUAAAAUUUUCAGUAACAUAAUAUGGCGAAUAAAAUUUAAUCCAGUCUACUGAGACCAAUCUAAAACUGUUCAUAUAUUUCAUGCCAACCCCAAAAAUUUAGCCAUCAUGCUACCAUAGUGUCAUAAGCCACAAUUUCAAUAACAUAUAAAAUCAUAAAUUCAACACAGUCUCUAUAUACUCAAUUUUCCCAAAAUAAUAUUUGAUUUCAAAACCAGUAUAAAUCUCAUUUUUAUUUAAAAAACAUUUUAAUUGAAAAACAUAAUAUUUUAUAAUUUAAACUCACCAUUCAAUAAAAGCAUCAAACAAGUAUAAUUACUCUAGAUAUUUAAGACGACAAAUUGUCCACUCACAAUAUUAGGAGUAGAAAUACUCCUAUUUUCAGUCCGCGGGUACAGUCCUUUACCCGUAUCCAAUGGCUCACCACCUAACCAUAAUCCAUGACACAUAUUCCAAUUAAAUUAUGUCUAAUAGUCAUAAGCUAUUUUAGGCUCGAUGUAUAUGCGUGAUAUGAAAUGAAAAAUGCACGAGUAGCCAUCUAAACCCGGUAUUGUCCUAAGUCGAUUUUUCAUCCGAUAAAUUGGCCAAUGCGUCCAAUUUCACUCCAACUUGCUCCAUUUCUUUUCCAAUUCCUCAAUUCACCAAAAACUAUUAUUUCUUAAUCAAAUCAUGUAGAAUAACAUCCCAUUCUUCCUCAUUAUUCACUUAAAGAAUUCGGCUAUUGAUGGACACCAAACCUUUGGUGGUUUUCUUCACUUGUUUUCAUACUACACAUCAUUAAUCACUUAAAAACACUAACAUACUUAAAAAUCAAACCAAUCCAAGAUCAUUCUCUCUCCGUACCCAUUUUGCCCAGCCAUGAAUUCACCAUGAAAGCAUGCUUUUCAACCAUGGAAAUUAAGGGAAAAUGCAUAGGAAAAAUAGUUCAUAAACUAAAAUCAAGAAAUUUCACCUUUUCCACUUGAUUUUCUUGAAAAUCCACACUUUUCUCUUGAAUUUCUUUCCACCUAGGGUUUGUUCUUCUUUUUCCCUUUGUUUUCUUGCCAAAACCGACCCUUAUGAGAGAGAAAUGGCAGUGUGGGCUAAGUUUUAUAGUUAAAUUAUAUAAUAAUUUAAACUUGCCACAUAGCAUUUCAUGAUUGGUCCAUUUUUUUAAAUUCUUAUCUUUUAAGCUUUAAAUCUGCACCACACAUUAUUCAAGGGUCAAAAAUGAUGAUGGGUGAAGACCUUGUGCUGGAAAAAUGCUUUGGGGGUGCAAAAUUACCGUUUUGCCCCCGAGGUGGCAAAAUUACCAUUUCACCCUUAUAUUCCAAAUUAUACCGAAAUUAAAAUUUUUCACUUCUAAACCUCAAAUCAUACUCCAAUAAGUCAAAUGGGGCCAAAAAAUCUUUUCUAAAAAUUUUCAUUUUGUCCCUAGGUGGCAAAUGACCAUUUUGCCCCUAGAUAGUGAAAAUUUUGGUUUGACUCCAAAUUGAUCCUCGAACUCCGAAUUACCAUUUUCAGUCAUCCUUGGACUGUGAAACUCUUAAUUUAACCUUAAAAUUCCUAUUUGAACUAGUUCAAGGCUUAAUCGACUUAAUGAUACCAUUAGGGGCAAUAUCGUCUUUUAACGAUUACUCAAACUUCCUAAAUAUGCAAACAUUCUAUUGAGCAUGUAAAUGACGUCGUAAUUAUUUUAUAGAACAGGGUUUGCAAUAUCCCUGAUAACUGAGUAUGAGAAUGAUUUUGGCACGAGCCAAACUUUUCAGGAUAUCAUAAGCCUCGUUGUUUAUUUUGGUGAAAUGAAUCUAUUUUAUCUUAUUAAAAUGAGUUCGAAAUGUUAAGAAUCAAUUUUUAUGCUAAUCUAUUUUAUCUGUCUCCAUUUACUCAGUUUUAGAUAUUUUAGAUGGUAUUUGUUUACUCACUGCGAUUAUAUAAUCUCACCACCCUCUUUUCCACCCAUUUCAAGCUUAGGAUAGUCGGUAAAUAACUCAUUUCGUUGAGGGCUACAGUUGGACUUGCAUCCUCAAAAACUGUAGGUUUACCGCUUUUGAUACUUUUGGCCGUUCGUGGGCUCACGUGUCACUGUAAAUUAAAUUUUAUACUUUGGUUAUCUAUAUUACAGUAUGUAUGAAUUUAUUUAGCUUUUACGCUAAAAAAAAUUUUUUACCGGUAACUCUAUAAAUAAUGUUUUAUAAGAAAAUAUAAUAUUUUAUUAAAUAUUUUUAUUAUAUUCAAAUAGUUAUAAUUUCACUUUAAAUGAAUGUUUUAGAUAUCUAAACUUAUUUUUUAUUAUGAAAUAUGUGUUUUCUACUUGCAUACUACAUUUUUAGCUAGUUUCGAGAUUUUUGAGGAACAAUGACCAAAAUGCCCCUGUGAGAUAGAAAUCAUUUUUUAUUUAUUUAAGUUGGAAAUAGCUUAAAAUCUUUUAGAACAUGAUAUUUGGCAACGGUUACUCACAGGAGAAAUGAGAAACUGAUAUUAAAGCCUUGCAGGGUUCCGAUUGACAUUCUGAGUAAUGAAUGUUGAUUGGGACACUGCGACGAUUGUCAUUGGCUCGAGAGGAGUACUAGAUCGUGACAAUUAGAGUGGUAUCAGAGCUUUUGGUUUUAAAGAUUAGAGCUUUUGGUUUUAAAGUUGUUUUAAAAACUACAGUGACAGUGUGGCCCAAGUUAAGUUAAGUUAAGUUAGGUUUGAUAGAAUAGAAUACGUGCAUCUGCAUAUAGAAUUUGGAGUUGUUUAGACUCGUUCUGUUUCUUCUUAUAGAUCUUAUGGGAGCAUAAGUCAUAGACAGAGCGCUAUAUGAGCUCCUGUUCCCAGUAAUCCACUUCUUUGUUAAUGUCAUGCAAAUGUCAUAAGUAGGACCAUUGUCCGGGUUUAAGAUGCCACCCAUGACACGAGCCAGUGUUAGAGAGAUCUUAAAACAAAUGCUCCUAAUGAAAGAUUAAUGAAAUGAUAUAUCCCUCCGAUUAAGGAUGGAAAAAUUUGGAGUUGGACUAAUAGGCCAUGAUAAUUUAUUCAUUUGGUGGAGUUAUAAUUGAACUCAUGGUUGUCAAUUGGAAAAAGAUUUGGGGACUAUGGAUUGUAUUGGGGUUAAUAUAAAGGAGCACAUGUGAUAAUGGUAAUAAGGGGCGCACUUUGAUUAAAAUGAAUAGUGAUGGUUGUAAUUCACUUGGAGUGUAUAAAUUAAGCAUUGAGGUAAGAGUAAACCCAUACUUAUGUGCAUGAUGAUAAGAACACUAUGUUAAUUGAGCUUAUGCCCAUAUAAAAGUGGUGUUGGGAUUUUGAAAUAUUUUAUAUGUGAAUAUGUGUUGAAUAGGUACAGCAGCUUAGAGGGAACUGGUGUUGAUUUCAAUUAAGCGAUUGUGAGAUUUCAAGAAUUGAUUGGACCUAUUAUAGUUCAUGGAUAUAAGCACGUGAAUUAACUCGAGAGUGAGUAUCAAUGAUUACUAUAAUUGAUGUGUGGUCAUGAAGUAAGAAGUUAGUAAACAAAUCUGCUCUAAGGAUGAGCUUGAACUUUGCUAUGCAUAGCAGGGGGAGCCAAGGGAUUAAAGGACUAGAUGUGGAAUUGGCAGCUUGAGGUUAAAUGACUUGGAAAUGUCGAAUCUAGUCUAAGUGCCAUAUGAAGUUCUAUAAUUGAGACUGAUAUACGAAUUACUUGAAAGAUCAAUUUAAAAGUUUAUUCGGUUCAAAGUGUGGCCUAUGAUACGAAUGAUCAGUCUUGAAGGUGAUCUCCCCAGAGUAAGGAAUUUAGAAAAUGUUGAUGUUUGGAUAUACUCUAAGAGAGAGAACUUCUGCAUCCUAAGUUUAGGACAACUUUGAUCUUAUGAUCGCAAAGGCAAGGUGUAAUAACUAAGUAAAUUAUUCACUUAAUAAAUGUGAUUGGUUAUUGAUGAAUAAAGUCAAGAUCUUAACAUUUAGUGGUAUACAAUUUGAUAAUUAUGUAUUUAAGAGUUAUUUGGAGACAAUUCCUUCAUCAAAUUUGCACUAAAUGCUAUGGUAAAGGCAUAUCAAUGUUAAUAUGGAAAUGUAUCCAGGAAUGAUCUUAACAUACCACCAAAGGAGAAUUAAACAUGUUGAAAUUAAUGUUCUAAUAGUGUGCAUAUGAUAGAAAGCUAGUUUGUAAGUUGUAGUUUUCAUGAUCAUGAAAUAUAUAAAGAUUAUCAAUCUAUGGACAUACACUUGGAGUUGUAAUUUACAAGUUUGGAGUAUUAAAGAUAUUAUUAAAUGGAAUUAGCAUUAGUUAAGGUACGUAAAUCUUUUAAUUAAUUUCUGUGGAGUAUGCAUGAUAAUAGAAUGGAGGAACAUAGUGCCGUGAUACUAUAUGGUGAAGUUACUAUACAAUAUGGAAAGAGUAUUCUGAAGUGGGAUUUAUUAAUUGUUGACAAGUGUUAUAGGAUGAGAUGAAUUUGAAAAUAUUGACUUUACCUAUUAUAUGUGAUAAGCAUAAGAGGAUACAAAUGGUUAUGGAAAUUAUGACGUAAGCUUGGAGGGAAACCAAACGGUUGAGAAUGAUUAGUGUAGUAACCUUAAAUAUAGAUGAAUAACAUUGAUUAAGUAAACUCCAAGAGCCACCGUGCCGCGGUGCUAAGAACACUUCAUGUCUAGGACGCAUGAAUAAAAUGAGACAGAUGUGAAGUUGAACUUACGAGUUGACCUAAAGUCAUUGAACUUGAUUCUAAGUUUUGUUAACUGGAGUUUUAAGGUUUUGGAAGGUAUCGAUAUGAAUGAGUUAAAGUUGAAAUGGUUAAAGGCGUUCCCUUCGGCGGGGAGCAAAAGGUCUGAGGUUCAAAACUUGGCGAGAAGGUCUUGCAGGGCCUGUCGUGCCGCCCUUAGGCAUGGGGUUCCGAGUAAGUCAAGUGAUGGGGAUCCAGACAUAACAAUACCUUGGAGUGGGCCCCGAAGGGGAUGCCACAUAAAUGGCUAAGUUACGGGUUAAGUGAUCACAUGUUGUGAGACAUAAGUUUAAGUUAGAUGUCCCCAAGGAAAUACUCAAGAGAAGUUCUGCCAUGGAUCUCGUGAAAGCAAGCACUAAGUUAUAUGGUUAUAAAAAGAAAGCUGUAAGCUAAGAGUGAUAUUAGUAUUAAUAUUGAAAAAUACUUGAGGAGAAUCUAGUUUCAAGUCUUGUAAUUUCAAGUACAAUUUGUAAAUUGGUUAAGGAAUAAUGAUGUUAUAUUCGUAUGAAAGAAUGGAACAAAGGAUGAUUGAAGUUGACCUUGAUAAUAAAGUCAGAUAAUGAAACUUUCUUGAUAUAUUAUGGAAAUUGGAAUUCAAAAAUGCUUGAGGCAUACAUGAUUCAAAUGAGUCUGAGUUUUAAGUGACAAAUCAAUAUCGGAAUGCAAGAAGGAUACAAGGUAAUGUAGGGCAUGAAAGAUAAUCGAAGAAAAAGGAUGACUCUUAGGAAUUGUGGUAUUGCAUAAGAUGCAAUGAUCAAGUUAAGAUAAAUCUUUGAGGCAUCAAUGGGAUUAUAAAGCAUACACGCAUAAUAGAUUAUAAUUCAAUGGAGAUGACAUUGUGAUGCAAUGAUAUAUAGUACAAGGAAACUUAAGCAUAUAAUUGGAAAGGAUAAGAAGAGAGUAUAAGUAUGUAAAUGAUGUGGAACUAUGCACAGACGUGAUGAGAAUUUGUAUGAAUUAUGAAGAUUAUUCUAUUGAAUCUUGGUUAUGGAUGGGAAUGAACAAAGAGAAAUUAGUCUGAAGGCAUUUGAAAACAGAGACCCGUAUACUUAAUGAGGAAUAUGGACAUUUGAAUGUGCGUGUAUACGUGUGUGUGCAGAUAGUGAUGUACCCAACUAAAAUGAAGAAUGGUUUUAGUGGUUCGAGAUUUGAACUCAAUCUAUUUAAUAAGUUGUAUAGAUAAUGUAACGAUCAAGAAUCUUAUUAGAAGUCGAUUUAUGGUGACCUAAGGAAUUUUGGGAAAAUAGUUAAGGUAAUGUAAUCCAUAGUGCGAUUAAGCCAUAUGAGAUGGACUAAUAGGAUUAAGAAGAUUGAAAUUUCCUAAAUACAAGGUAAACAUGAAGUAUGUGGAAAUAAUUGAAGCCAUUAAUAUUUCCUAACGUUGAGGAUAUGUAUAAGAAUGAGUAUGGCAUGUUAAUGAUACUAUAAAGUACACAAUAUUGUAUGAAGAUGGAAUGAAUGAAAGUUGAGAAGUUUGAUAUGGAAUGAAGUAAUAAGAUAGAGAUUGGUAUACAAAAAUAAGUAUAAAAUGCGAUCGAAAUUGGUAUGAUUGAGAUGGAGUUAUGGUUCAAGUUUAAUGAUAGUAAUAGAAGCAUUCUUGGUGUCUCAAUAUAAAAGAUCAUAAUUGUGAAGAUUAUUGUUGAUCUGAUUUUAAAGGAUAAUAAUAGACAUAAGUGAAGUACUUGAGUUGAAUUGGAGGUAAAUGAGGUGAACAAAUCAAAAUUCCCUAUAAAGGAGAGGACAUAAGAAGUCGAGCAUUAGAUGAGAAAACAAUACCCUCACCUUUUCUCUGAGUUUAGUAAAUGAAAUUUUGAGGUCAAAAUUUUAUUUUAAAGGGGGGUAGUGCUAUCAAGCCCGGCUCUACAAUAUGUUUAUUAUGCCAUUCCUACAUAAGAAUGCAUGUUUGCUUACUUGAGUACCUUGAAAAUCGUUAAAGGACGGUAUUGUACCAAAUGGUACAAUUAAGUUGAAUUAAGCCUUGAACUAGUCCAAAUAGAGAUUUUAAGAUGAAAUUGAGAAUUUUAAAACCUCAGAAUGACUUAAAAUAGUGAUUCGGAGUUCGAGGAUCGAUUUGGAGUCAAAUUAGAAUUUUCAUGACCCAAGGGUAAAAUGGUCAUUUUGCCACCCGAGGUUAAGAUGUGAGUGUUGGAUUAAAUUUUUGACUAAGAUUGAUCAUUUGGAGUAUAAUUUGAGUUUGAGACGUGAAGAAUUUUAAUUUCGACAUUUUUUCGAGCAUAGAGGUAAAAUAGUCAUUUUGCCACCCCAGGGGCAAAAUUGUAAUUUUACACCACCCAACACUUGUCCAGCACAUGAAUUUCACCCAUUAUUAUCAUGGAUAAUUGAAGGAUUUUAUGUGGUGGAGAAAGAAAGCUUAAUAAUUAAGAAUUUAAAAAUGGACCAAUGAUAAGGUGACAAGUGUCAAGCUUUUAUUUCUUUAUUAUUUUCCUUAUAAAUUAGCACAAAACCAGCCCAUUUCUCUUCAUUAUGGCCGGCCAAAGCAAGAACAAAGGAAGAAAAAGAAGAACAAAACCCUAGGUGGAAAAAUUCAAGGGAAAAGUGUGAAAAUUAAAGGAAAUAAAUGAAAAAAAGGUAAGAUUUUUCAAUUCAGCUUGAGAUCUCUCUUUCUUAAGCAUUUUUUCUUAUUUUCCAUGGUUGAAUCACAUGAAAUCAUUAUGGGUCUCUUGCUGGCCGAACACUUAGAGAGAGAUUUUGAUGGUUGAUUUGGUUAGAUUUCAAUGUAUUUUAGGGUUGUUAGUUAGUUAGUGAUGUGUAGUAUGAAAAGCCAACAAGAAAAAUUCACUUCCUCCCAUCACCCAUCAUUGGCCGAAUUCUCCAUGUAAAAUAUUGAUGAUGAUUUUGAUUUUAUUUCAAGUGAUUUGGUUAGGAAUUAGUGAUUUAUGGUGUGAUAAUCAAGCUUGAAAAAUUAUAGUGUUGAUGCACCCACCAUGGCUGAAUUUUCCAAGAGAAAAUGUGAGGAUGAUUUUGCCAUAUUUCAAGUUAUUUAAUUUGUGUUUGAUGAUUUGGAGUAUUGGGAGAGAAAUGGAAUUAUUUGUAGUUGAAUUGGACUUAUUGGCCAAUUAAUUGGGUGAUAGAUCGAAUUAGGCCAAUACCAUUUUAUUUAGGUACAUAAUUGAAUUUAUAUUGAACACCUUAUGUAGAUAGUUACCCGAGUAUUUCACAUCCCAUUUCAUGCAUUAGUAUAGAGCCUGAAUUGGUUUUAUAACAAUUUAGCACAAAUGUAGUAAAUGGUUUAUUGGCAAAGAAAUUAUACUCGAGGAUCAAUAGUCGGAGUACUCCAAAAUUCAAACUCCUAAUACAGUGAGUAACCUUAUUAUCGUCUUAAUUAUCUAAUGUAGUUUUAUUCAUUUUUGUGAUUUGAUAGAAAAAUGAGUUUAAAUGGUAAAUCUUUAUGUUUUAUAAGCAAAAUGUGAUUAAAUGAAAUGAUUUUAUAAAAUUGUCUUGAAAUUGAAAGAUGGUUUUGAAAAUGGAGUAAUUGGAUACUGAUUGCUGUGUUAUAAAUCAUGGUUUGAAUUGAAUGGCUUAUGAUAAUAUUGGCAUGAAUGGUUGGAUUUGGUAAAUGUGCUGAAAAAGUAUGAACUGUUGAUUUGCCUUGAGAGGCUGUAAAAUGAAAUAAUUGCCAUGUCAUGCUGUUGAAUUUUAUUGAAUUGGUGGGUUAUAAUUGGUCGUUGCAGUGGACGGGUUCCGUGGACCAGCCUAUUAGAGGGGCAUGGUAACCCUAUUAUAUUCAUACCUCAGUAUGAGAGGCGCGGUUGGAUAACUCCUGAGGUUAAAACUUUAGAGUUCACUUCACUCUAAACCACCACGUGAGAGUGAACUCAGCCAACGCCAACGAACGGCUAUGUUUUCAAAAUAAAAACAUGAUUUAUGCGUACACAACUUUUUAACAGCCUUGGCGACUCGGUUGGGAUAGCCCUCGGCCAAGGUAUCCCUGAUAACUGAGUAUGAGAAUGAUUUUGGCACAAGCCAAACUUUUCAGAAAAUCAUAAGCCUCGUUGUUUAUUUUGGUGAAAUGAAUCUAUUUUAUCUUAUUAAAGUGAGUUCGAAAUGCUGAGAGUCAAUUUUUAUGCUAAUCUAUUUUAUCUGUCUCCAUUUAGUCAGCUUUAGAUAUUUUAGAUGUUAUUUGUUUACUCACUGAGAUUAUAUAAUCUCACCACCCUCCUUUCCACCCAUUUCAGGCUCAAGAUAGUCGGUAAAUAGCUCAUUUUGUUAAAGGCUACAGUUGGACUUGCAUCCUCAAAAACUGUAGGUUUACCACUUUUGAUACUUUUGGUCGUUUGUGGGCCCACGUGUCACUGUAAAUUAAAUUUUAUACUUUGGUUAUCUGUAUUACAGUAUGUAUGAAUUUAUUUAGCUUUUACGCUACAAAAAAUUAUUUACCGGUAACUCUAUAAAUAUUGUUUUAUAAGAAAAUAGAAUAUUUUAUUAAAUAUUUUUAUUAUAUUCAAAUAGUUAUAAUUUCACUUUAAAUGAAUGUUUUAGAUAUCUAAACUUAUUUUUUAUUAUGAAAUAUGUGUUUUCCACUUGCAUACUACAUUUUUUAGCUGGUUUCGAGAUUUUUGAGGAAAAAUUACCAAAAUGCCCCUGUGGGACAGAAAUAAUUUUUUUAUCGAUUUAAGUUGGAAAUUGAUUAAAAUCUUUUAGAACAUGAUAUUUGGCAAUGAUUACUCACAAGGGAAAUGAGAAAAUGAUAUUAAAGCCUUACGGAGUUCCGAUUGACAUUCCAAGUAAUGAGUGUCGAUCGGGACACCGCGACGGUUGUCAUAGGCUCUAGAGGAGUACCGGGUCAUGACAAUAUAUUAAGCAGAUUGUGCGAUUACAUGGAGUUCCAGUUACCAUAGUCUCGGAAAAAGGUACGUAAUUCACUAGUCACUUUUAGGGUAAAUUCUAAGAGGCUUUGGGAAUUAAGCUUAAUUUUAGCACACCUUUCAUCUUCAGAUUGAUGGAUAGUCUGAGAGGACUAUAUAGACCUUGGAAGAUAUGUUAUGGGCUUCUGUGGUUGAUUUUGGAGUUACAUGGGAUCAACACUUACCUUUUAUAAGGUUCACCUAUAAUAACAAUUAUCAAGCAAGCUUUGAGAUGGUGCUUUAUGAGGCAUUGUAUGGGCGUAAGUGUAUAUCGCUUAUUACUUGGUUUGAGGCUGGUGAACAAAAGCUACUUGGAUCAGAGAUAGUAAAGAAGCCACUAACAUUAUUUGAUUAAUUCAAGAUAGGUUGUUAAUGGCUUAAAAUCGAUAAAAAUCAUAUAUGGACCAUAGACGUCGAGACUUGGAGUCUGAGGUGGGUGACCACAUAUUCCUAAGGGUUUCACUUACUAAGGGGAUCAUGAAAUUUGGCAAGAAGGGCAAGUUGAGCUUGAGCUAUGUUGGACCCUUUGAAAUCCUAAAGAGAGUUAGUGUAGUAGCUUAUAUAUUGGCGCUACCCUUGGAUCUUUUAAGUAUCCACCCGAUAUUCCAUGUGUCCGUACUCUAUAAGUACAACCUUGACCCAUCCCACAUGAUUUGUUAUGAGGAGAUUCAAUUGGGUGAUGACUUGUCAUAUGAAAAAGUACCAAUAGAGAUCAUAAAUAAACAACUAAAACAACUUUGCACCAAGGAUGUAGCUUCAGUGAAAGUCCUUUGGCACAACCACUCUAAAGAGGAGGUGACUUUAGAAGCUGAGGACAAGAUACAUGUGAAGUACCUCAUUUAUUUCAAAAUUAAGGUAACUAACUCUUUGAUUUAAAUUCGAGGAUGAAUUUUCUUAAGGGGGAGAGAAUGUGAAACCCUUAAUUUUUGUUACAUAGGUAAAUUAGAUAAUUAACUUGGUGAGCUUAGGAAAUAUGCUGACUAGCUUAAAUUCCUUGAUUUAUAACCUUGAGAAAACCAUACAUAAAAGGCUUAAAGGUUUGAGGGCAGAUUAGAGUUGAUUUAUAACUUAAAAGGAUCAAUUUUUACAACUUGGAGGUUAAAAGAUCGAUUUUCAUGCAUUAAAGGUCAAUUCUUAGGUGGAAAGUUGGAUAAGAUGCAAUUUAGAACUUCUUAAGGUCGACCCAUGCCCUUAAGAAGUCAACCUCAAAAGCUUAUAAAACAUGGGCAACAUUUUGGAACAGGGUCGACUACACCUUCAGAGUGGUCGGCCUUAGAGUAGUUUUUCAACUAGGGUCGACAACCCCUUACAUUAAAAAGUCGACUCUAGGACACAUUAACUAAAAAAUAAAAUCGUAAACCCCUCUCCCCUAUAAACUCGAGCCUCUUUUUUUUCCUUUUAAUUGCUCUUUGUCCUUUCACUCAUUUUCUCUCAAAUUUCUCAAGACCCUUAGACUCCACCAUCAAACCUUGACCUUCAAAAGCUAUAGGAAAGAAUUUUGUUAGAAACGUUAGCUUAAAGAGUGAAUAUCCAAAAGGGGGUGCAUUGGAUUUGUUUAUAAAAAAAAUUAGAGAAUGAAGUAUGAACUACUAUAGUCGACUAUAAUUGUAUUUCUCCUUGGUAAAACCUUUUCAAAAACUAUUUGGACAAAUAUAAAGUCGACUAUGAAGACUUGAUGGUAGAUCCUAGAUGAGAAACUUGUUUUGAAAGCUUGCGACAAAAAUUCUAAGGAAAACCUUGAUGAUUAUACAAAUUUUAAACAAGACUAUUCAAUCAACUAUAAGCAAAUGAUCAUUUUGAAAUGCUUAAGACAUUUUCAAAUGUAGGUCAAACAAGUUUAAUUUAAGAAAAAUAUUUCAAGAAAUCUUGUCAAUAAGAGAUAAACAAGUGGUGAUGAUUGCGAAAGAUUUAACGAACAAGCAACUAAUGAAAUGAGUUUUCUUGAAAUGAAAUGAAAUGAAAACUUUACGUAAAAAUCAAACCUUCUUCAAAAUAAAUUUCCUACUUGUGUCAAAAACAAAGUAAGUGAUUUUUCUAAAACAGGUUUUCAACAAUAAAUCAUAAAUCAUAAAAGUAACUUUAGACAUAAAGAAUUUCUAAUGGUUCGGCUUUCUCAAAUGCCUACAUCCAUUCCCUUAGCUCGUUGAGGUAUUUUCAAUCCACUAAAAGGAUUCUUGCUUUUUAAGAAGAUCAAGCGGUAACCCUUACACAAUCCACAAAAAGGAUUCUUUCUUUUAAUGGGAAGCGAUAACCCUUACACUAACUUUUCAAGGCUAAAUUAGAACCAUUACAAGAAAAACAAGAGUGCCUUUGAAAGGUGGAUUUUGCUAGUUUAGUACAAUGGAGGAAGAAUAACUAACAAUGGAUAAAAAGAUUGGAUAUAAAGAUUGGAGUGUAAGUACAAAGAAGGUUUAGCUCAAGUAAGCUUAGUUUGCUUGGUUUUCUCUCUUUUCUUUUCAAUACCAUGAUCUUCAAGAUUUUGUCCCUUUUUCUUUCUUUUUCCUCACUUUGAAAUGCUUCCAAAUGGUCCUUUGUAUAAUUGAAUGAGUCUUAACAUUGUUAGAGAUGAUUUCAGUAAGAAAUUAGCCGUUUUCCUUUUGAAUUUUAUGUCUAAUGAUCAUCUAUAGUCGAGUAUGGAAGUUUUCUAGUCGAUCCACUUUCAAAAACCUUGUAUUUUUUAAAUCUGGCUUUGUAUAGUUUACUACAAAGGCUUAAGGGUCGACUGAGGCUUUUCAAAUCCUUUAAUUUUGCAUGUAUUCUAUCUAAGGGUCGACUAUAGCUUCAGUUCUUCGGGAUUUUCCAUCCAUCUUGCCAUAGGGUCGACUAUGGAGCUUAUAGGGUCGACUAUGCCUUCUAAUACUUCUCAAUUUUUCAACCAUUCUUUGACCAUUUUGCCAUUGGAUCGACUUGCCUUGCUUUAUGAUUGAUUAUUGCCUUUAAAUCUUCAAUUCCUUCAUUAAUUAAGCAUGUAACUUUUGCCAUAUCUUCCUUAUGAUCAAAAGUUGAGUUGAGAAUGAAUUUCAUGACUUGAAACAACCUUGGUAAAGAUCAAACACCUUUGAGUGUCUUGAGAUAAACUCCACCACUUGUGAACCUAGUUUGCACUUUCAAAUAUCUUAAGAGUAAUUAUUAGGGAGAUCAUGAGGAGAACUCAUUUAAGCAUGUUUAACACUCAUACAACUAAGUCAUUCAAGCUUGUAGACAUAUAUGAAGUGAGUGUAUGAAAGUUUAAUAACUUCAAGAAUUCACACAACUAAAACAACCAAGCUUGUAAUCAUGUAAGAACAAAUGUAUAAAAGUUUAUAAUUUUAAGAACUUCUCAAGUGUCACUCCAGUAAAGCAAAUCCAAAUUUGAAUCAUUUUGCCAUAGUCAAAACUAUACUUCUUUUCAAGUAAACAAUCUCCCUCUUUUUGAUAUGACAAAACCAUGAGCAUUAUUUGCAUUUGAAAUAUCUUUUGAAAGCUCCCCAUAACUCUAUUAGUCUCUAAGCCCUUGUUUGAAAUCAUUUAAGCUUAAGUGAGAAGGGUUUUGUAAUGAUGUUAAACUUAAAAUCUCCCCCUCAACAUAUACAUCAAGGUUUCAAAUUUGCUUAUAAACCUUCUCCCCUUUUUUGUUAUAUCAAAAAGGUUUAGAAAUGUGAGAAUUAAGACACCUAAGUUUAAGAGAUAAUAACGUCAAAAGCUAUCAAGUCAUGCAUAGAGCCAUUUAACCACUCAACUAUGACCAAGUAUGCAUACUAUUCAUGAAGUUCAAGGAAGGUAAGCAUAAGGAUGUUCAAUAAGCACUAAGAUACAUCUCUAAUAUCAAUUGUUAAAUAUCAAUCUAAGGCUCAAAAUACUAAUUGAUAGAUAUAAGCAAAAUCUCCCCAUUUCUAAAAGCAAAUAAGCAUAAGAACAAUUUCAAGGGAUAGAAUUAUUUUAAAGCUCGUUGUAUCAAUUGGUAAAACUUUAGUAAAGGCUCCUCAUUUUGAAAGGACUUCAAGCAUAUCAAGCAUUUCAAGUAUAUUUAAAUUGUUGAAUUUCUCCAUGCAAGUGUACAUAUUGCAACAAGUAAUAUAAAGGUAAAUAGAGUGUCGAAUUCCAUAGCGAAUUGCACCAACUUAAGUUAAGUACUAAAAUUGUACCAAACUAAUUUUAUCCAACUAAUCAAAUUUCAAAGAUUAAUUAAAACCAAACUUGAACUAACAAACUAAAACUAAUAAUUGAAUGACAAUUUUCUAAAAAAGCAAUUGAUUAAAAGUCUAGGAUUAUGCUAUCCCUCAACACUUCAUCUGAAUCCUCUUUCAAAGAUAACUUGAGCUACAGAAGUCUAAUUGAUGAGAUUAUUGAUCCAUUGAAAAGAUAAGAGAAUGGGAUACAACUUUCAAAUUUACCACUUUAUCCAGUUCGGAUCCGAUCAAGGUGAAAAUUGAGUUGGAAUACGAUAGAUAGUUGCAGUUUACACAACAUGUUGAUUGGAGGCCGCGGCUCUAAGUUACUCAUGGCUGCGAAACUGAGGCAGCUAAAGCGACAACACUGGGAAGAUCAUGGCCACGGCGUUGGAAAGUUGAAGUGUAUCAUAUAUUGGGCCGAGGCCAAAGAGCCACGGCACUGAUGAAGUAGCACUGUGUCACCACAAAUGACUGCCACGACAUCGUGGCACCAGUGAAACAUGGCCUCAACACUAUGAUGUUUUCCAAAAUUAAAAGUUUUGACAGAAAUAUGUAAAUUAGAUUAACUUGAGCCUAUAAAAAGGACUUUUUCAGAGCAUUCAAAAAGUAGAGAACGACAGCAGCUCUUAUGGAGAAUCAGAGCUAAGAAUCAGGCAAGGAAACAAGAGCAAUUAAGAGAGAUUCAAGAUCAACAAAGCUUCAACAUUAGUUUAUUUCUCUCUUUUGUGUUAUACUUAUUUUCUUGGUUUGAAUUCAUGGUCAAAUUUCUUUGGAUAUUUUUUUAUUUAAAUAUCAUGAACUAAUUUGCUUUUCUAAGACUAUGGUGGAUUUGAACAUGUAGUUUGAAUAUUAGUUUCUCUUUUAUUUGUCAUGAAUGGGUAUAGUUUUGCUUAUUCAAAUCUGUUCUUAAUGCCUUUAAUUGCCUAAUAAACAAUUAAUUGAUUUGCGAAUCUAAUUGAAACUCAAUAAAGAGACUUUAGAUUGGACUAAGAUUUGAAUAGUGUAUGUUCAUGUCACUUAGGUGAUCUAAUUCGCGAUUCAAGUAGACAUAAGCGAAUUACCAUAUAUAGCCAAAUUAAGACACUAGUUUAAUGAACUUAAUUUAAUUGAUUCAUAUAGACAUAUAGUGAACUAAUUAAGUUAGGUAUUGGUGUAUGCGUCUUGAUGAAGACUUAUACAUAGCUUUGGAUUCUAGGUUAGUAAAAUCACCCGGGAAAGAUAAAUAAUGAAAAAAGCUAGUAUCAAAUGAAGUGUUGAAUAAACCCAUAAUCCUAGAUCUUUAUCUAUUGUCUUUCCCAAGAAUAUUUAAUUUCUAUUUGUUAAUUUAGUGUUUAUUUUAAUUUCAUUUUAAUUAGUUUUUCUGUAAUUUCUAGUCACUUAAAUAAGAUUGAUUUGUUAUAAAAUUUUAGUACUUAAUGAAAAUAUAAAAAUCAAUCUCUGUGGGAAUGAUACUCUACUUCUACUAUAUUACUUGUUUGAGAUAACGUGCAUUUGCGUGAAAAUUCAACACAACAAUCUUUUCAAUAUUUACACUUUACAAAACCUCAAGUCUCCAAAAAUAAUAUUAAAAUACAAUUCUCCAAAAGAUACAAAUUUCUCAUCUAACUAACAUCUGCUUAACAAACUUAAAACUAAACACUCACAUCAAAGCUUAUAAUUGUCCAAUGGCAUACAUUAAUCUUGGUAACCAAAACUCUCGCCAAGCAAGUUUAAGUCCCAAAUAUGCAAAGAUGUUGAACUUUGUAAAAUGAUGAGAAUUAAUGGAAUAAGUACAACCAUUCAGUAAGUAACUGACAUCCCCUCAGUUGGAUUGAGCAUACUCUAAAACAUUUAGGCCAAAAAUAUCAUUAAUUAUAUAGAUAUCAAAAAAGAAUUUUUGAUAAUCUCAUUCAGAAUUAUAUACUUCAAAAUUUCACUUUUUGAUAAUAGAACAAACACAUUUCAUAAAUAUUUAGAUUUUGGUGGUCUCUUGUAACAUACUAUGGUCACACUUAACCCUUGUGGCUAGGUCAUAAUCAGAAGCAACCAUUGGCUACAUUAAACAAAUAUUACCAAUACCACUAUUUUGUAACUAGUGGUGCAGUUGGGAGAUCGAUCUCUAAUCAUAGAAUACAUGUCAACAUGGCCAACAAUUAACCCCAAUUGACAAGAUCAUAACAUAGCCAUACUAGGAGAUAAAACAAAACUUAUUUUUUGAUUACCCAAAUUCACAAAACAAUAUUAUUCACUUUCACAAAACACAUCUCGUGCACAUAAAAAUAUAAUCGCUUCAAACUAAGUAUUCACAAAGAUAGUCAUAUAUGCAUACAUUAAACAAAAUCAUAUUCAAAUUUCAAAAUCAGAAAAUCAUGUUUUGCAUAAUUCAUAUUCUAAAUCCAACAUACAAAAAUUAUAUAUAUAUAUAUAUAUAUAUAUAUAUAUAUAUAUAUAUAUAUAUACAUUUUACAUGCUGAUAACUUUCUGAUAUAAAGUUAUUUGGGCUUAAUUUUGAUAGUAAUUUAGCUUAGUUCUUGCAGUAAUACAUAAAAAUUGGUAAGUUUUAUUUAAUUAUUUUAAAUUAGUAAUUUAGGUGAGUCAAUCUAAUCUUAGUUAAUUUUAUGCUUAAUUUGAUGUUAAUGUGAUUAAGAUAGGUUGUUAUUGAUUUAUUUAUGCUUUUGUAGGUUUAACGAAGGAAGAAUUUUAAUGGAAGCAGAAAAGCAAUUUCAAGGUGUAGACUUCCACUGCACAUAUAUAGGUAUUUGAACCAUAACUCUCUCUACAGAGCUCCAAAUGAAGUGAUUCUUGAACCAUUGGAAAUUUAAGAGAAAAAGCUACAACUUUCAUGCUUACUACAUCACCCAGUUAGACAUAGAAUGUGGUCAACAAUCUUGUCAAAUUUGAAGUACUGUAAUAAUCCUAGAGCAAUUACGAUUUCUCUUAAUUAAUUGGUCGAGACCGUGGCUCACAUAGUCUGAUCAGAAAAUUCUAGUUCGAAUUGAAUUCUUUCUUUACCUAACUUGGUCUAACUUUACAACACUAUAAAAACAAUCUUUCAGAGGACUUUUUUUUUUAAAAAAAAGAAUGAAACGCUCAAUUGAAAGCUGAAAAUCAAGCUACAAAAUAAUUAAAGAAAAGUCUCAUUGGAGUUAAAGAAGAAAUUGAAGAAUUCAAAAAGAUUUGGAGAUCAAGGAUUCAACUCUUGGGUUCCUUUUAUCUUUUUGCUGUUAUUUUAUUUUCUUGGUUUUGGUUUUGAUGAUAAACUUUAUUUAAUAAUGAUGUGUGACUUGAUGAGAAACUAAUUCAGUUAUCUAAGAUUAUGAUUAAACUCAAUACAUAAUCUACUUUAUUUGUCUAUCUUUUGCUUACGUAUAUAUUUAAGUUGUUUAUAUUAUUUUGUUUAAUGCUUUUAAUUGCUUAAUCACCAAUUAGAUUAAAUUGAAAACCUAGGUUAAACCUUGACGAAGGAGAUUUAGGUAGACAUUGAAUAAAAUAGUGUAUAAUCAAAUAUACUUAGUUGAUUAGGUGGUUUGAUUUGCAUAUAGGGCAUACAUACACUUAUAAGCCAUACGUAGCCUAAAUUAGAGUACAAACUUAAUGAAUCUGUUUUUAAUUUAAUUUGCAUAGACAUAUAGUAAGUUAAUUGGGAGAGAUAUUUUCAUAAGAAACUCGAUAGAGACUUGUAAAUAAAUUAGAACUCUAAGUUAACAACUUAAUCUAUUAAACUAAGUUAAGAGAGAGAGACAAUAAUCAAAAGAAGUAUUGAGAGAUAUCAUAAUCUUAGGUCUAGUAAUCACUAAGAGUUAAUAAAAUAAUUUUCCUGAUAGAUUUUAGAUUAAUUUUAGUUAUUAGUUUCAAUUUUUCUUUUUAAUAAUUAGGUUGUUUGGAUAAAAUUAAGGUAUUAAAAUUUUAGUAGUUAGCAAUUACGAAUUAAUUCAAUUUUUCGUGAGAACAAAUUCUACUUACUAUUAUAUUACUUGUUAACGAUAUGUGCACUUGUAUGAGAAAUCAACAACACAUGCUCAACUCAGUUUUUACAAAUCAAAGGACAAAAUAUAUUAUAAAUAUUAUAAAAAAUUCAAAUUCACAUUCAAGUUAAUUUUUAGGGUAUGAAAAUACCGAAGAGAUAUCAUUCACUUACUUAAUUCGUUAAAACCAAAGAACAAAAAGUUCGAAUUCUCUUAAAAGCUAUUAGUUCAAAAUACUUGAAAUUAGAAACCAACACUGCUAAGUAUCAAAACGAACUAUGACUCCCCAUUGGUUAUUCUAAGGCAUUUAGGGUGUAUCACCUUUUUCGCUAACAAAAAUUAAUUUUGAUUAAAAGUAAAAAUUGAUUUUCUUUAAUAAUUUAUAAAUACAUAAAACAUUCAAAACUUAGAAACUCAUAGGUUAAAACACAAAAUCAGUAACAAAUAUAAAGUUUGAUGGAAAUACUUCAAAUGCUAAUUAACCUUGACUCUUGAAUAUUGUUAACAAAUUUUUCUAAAAUCUACAAAUUCAAAAAUAAUUUUUCAAAUAAAUAUUUACUCAUAAAAAAUUUUAGUAAAAUUCAAAUAGCUUAAAUUUCUGAAGUUUCUAUCAAAAUAGAUCGAAUAUAAGUCAAGAAUAAUUUUUGAAAUAAUUAAAAAUAAUUUUUUUAUAAAUUCUAAAAUUUCAUAUUUUUAUUACCAUUUGACUUACUUCGAGUACUUAUAAAUUUUAACCCGAAUUGUUUCCAGUGAUAAACGCAAAACCAAAUUUAAGUAUUCAUGUCACACUAUAACAUUAAAAAUUGUUUUGAUGAAAAAGAUUGCAAAAUUCCCAAGUUAUGAAAGCCAAAAUUUUAAAAUCCUCAUAGAUUUACUAAGAUUUUUGGAUUUUUAGAUUCAAAUAGCCAACCUUGAACCUUCGAUUCUCUUAAUACAAAAACCCCCUAACCAAGCCAUUGAUACUAAAUUCAACAACACAUUUCAUACUAUAAAAGCUCUCAAAGAAAUGACUCAAAACAUUAGUAGAAAGUGGAGUUUUGGUAAUCUAAAGUUAGGUCGUCAGAAUUAUUAAAAAUAGAUUUCUUAACCAACUUAAAAAAUUCAUAUUUUCCUAACCACAAAACCAAAAAAAAAUGCUAAAACACAUUAGAAAGAUCUUUUCAAGUCCUUGCCAUUAAUAUCGAUCAUGCCACCUGAAUAGUACCAAAUUUGAAUGGAAAUUGAAAAAACACAAAAAUAACUUAUGACUUUUGUGCCAAAACUAAGAAAGAUAAAAAACCUAAUCCUAUCUUAAUACCUACUUUCUUGAAUAAAUUUUUUUCUCCUUUUUUUGCCUUCUUCUUCUUUAUAACUAAUUUCUUCCAAAUGGUUUCUCUGACUUUUAAACUUACGUUAACUUCUGUUUUUCUUUUAAACUUAAUAGUAUAAUUAGCCUUCACCUUCUCUAGCUGCUUUUCUCUUAAACAAGGUAAUAUAAAACUAACCUUAACCUCAUCUAACUUUAAAUGUGAUAAUGAAAAUUGACACCAAUUAAAAGAAAAUUAUUCUAUUUGCUAAGAGGACCUUAAUAUACAAACUAUUUUAAUAUAAACCCAAAUAUUUAUAAAUAAUUUCAAUAAGACCUAUUUGUCAAAUUUGAGAUUUUGUAAACAUAUUAAUGUUAUUUUUUUUUUGGGUUAGGGUAUUACAGGUUGGAUUCUGUAUGUUCAGAAUAAGUAGAUAAUUUUUCAAAAUUAAAACCUACAGCAUUCUUGCAAAAAGCAAUGAGAACAAAAUUUCAUGUUCAAAAAAUGAAAUUAUCACAUUUCUAUCAAAAGCAUUAAAACUUUUAGUAGUUACGUAAAAAAAAAAAAACAGUUUGCAUCAUGGAAAUAAAAAAGGAUAAUAAAAAAUGCCCCCCAAGCAACACUAACCACACUAUCACAUCAAAUAAAGACUAAGCGGUUAUCUACUCCGCCGUCUCCACAGGAAUUUCAUUUUCCCAGACUAGAUUGAGAAUUGAGAAUAAAGGCUUUUAGCUCUUUUAGGUGAGGAGGAAAUGAUUCACAGAAUAGGUGUCUCGUCUUUUUGUACAUUCACCUUACUUCUUUUGGCUAGAAGACCAAGAUAUAUUCACCCUACUUUGCAUUUUUAAACUCUGAGAUUCAAAAAAUUACAACCAAAUUAAGUGAUUAUUGGCCAAGAAGUUAAAGAUUAAACAAGCAAGAAAUGGUUGCAUGUUGAUAAUACAUGAUAAUUAAGACAGUAAAGUAGUGAUAACUAUAUAUCAUAUCUUAGUUUUACAUAUAACUCGUGUAAUGUUUCGCAUCUUUUAUGCAUUAAGGUCAUGUCACAUUCUGCCUUUCUUAGCCUUCUGUUGCUUGAAAUUAUGUUUUAGGUAGUAGUAAUAGUGCUACUGUAGUAAUUUUUGAGACUUUUAUUUUUCUGACCAGUACCUUUCCUGAUAGCCCCGUGCCUAAAAAACAAUCCUCGACAUAAAGUAAACUAGUUGGAACCCUGAAAGAACCAAGAUUCUAUACAUGGCGGAUCAUGCCAUAUGCCACAUCCUCCUCUUAGAUCAAAUUAAACAGAAGAUCUUAAUAAGUUUAAUUAUCAAAUCAUUCCCAACCCAACUCUGACCAGAAGAUAGGGAUGGAAACACCACAAAAUCUGUGAGAUAUCCAAGUGGUCCCAUAAAAAGAGAAGAAGGAAUUACACUUUUUACAAGGAGGAAGAUCAACCGCAGAUAGAACGUGUCCGGUAUGAAUAGCCAGCCACAUGGUGCGUUUACUGCCUGCCUUUCUCAAAUAGCAGAAAAGACUUAGUGGGACCAGAAAAGACUGACAGGGCUGUAAGUUGUGACAGUCAUUCAGAUCUCCAUCGAAUUCUAGCCAAGUAAAUUGCAAAACUCCACUACGGUCCGCUUACAUUUUAUCUUGAUUUUCAUUAAAAAGUACAUUCUAAAUCUUAUACUGAUCAUGGCUUUUAAUGAUUCAAAAUAAGAGCAUUUUAAGAUGGGAAAGUGAGAUGUUAUCCCAGUCCUUCGAGGACAACUUUGUUCGGAGUAAUCAUAUGCCAAAAAUUAUAAGUCGAAGCAAAAGGAAAACAAACCUAAUUUAUUGAAAGCAAGGCAGAAUUGAUGGAGAACACCAAAAAGUUCCACAGUUUAAUUUCGAUGAAGUCCACUACAAGACUUGGAUUAGAGCUUGUGUUGCUAUCGAGGAAAUUAUAGAACCUCCAACUCAAUCUCCACUACCUGUCAAUUGUCAAUCUGCUACAGUAAUCAACCUCUCUGUCUUUCUAUCUUUUCUCACACUCUGCCAAAGAGGGCUCUUCACAUGUUUUUGUUUUUAGUGAAUAGAUAAAGCAUUUUCAGUUCCAUGCUUUACAGAUGGUCCUAACACCAACCACUCACGGGUUUGGAUACUGGGCAUAUUUCUUAUGCUACUUCCAACUGGUAUAAGUCUUAACUAGAGAAGCCCUAGUGGAAGCUUCUUUUCACUUCUCUCAUGUUUGCUUUGCUAACUGCCAUGCCAUGGAUCCAAUCGUUCGCCUUCUCGUUCUAGCAUCCUCUUUUACACGUCUUCUUUUCGUAAUAGCUCAACCAGCAAAUCCCAUCUCUCGGAUCACAGUAGUGGGUGUUGUUUUCUGCGAUAUAUGUUCAAGCAACACCUUCUCUAGGCACAGCUAUUUCUUGCCAGGUAAAAGAGUGUCACAGACCCAGAAUUGAUCUAAUUGAUGGAAAGAACCUUUUUUUUUUUAUAACGUUGCAGUUGCCAAUGUUUUUAAUCAGGUGUGGAAGUCAACGUUCAAUGCAAGUUUAAAGCAAAAUCACCUAAAACUACAGAGCAGAUGACCGUCUCAGUCAACAGAACUACUGAUAAAUAUGGAGUAUACAAGCUAGAAAUACCGCAUGUUGAUGGGGUUGACUGUGUGGAAGGUUUGGCUAUUGAGUCGUUAUGCCAGGCAAGUUUAAUGGGGAGUAAAUCUUCAGCAUGCAAUGUACCAGGUUUGAAGACUUCGGUAAAUCAGAUAUCUGUCAAGUCAAAACAAGAUAAUCUUUGCAUCUACAGCUUGAAUGCACUGAGUUAUAGGCCAUCCAAAAGAAACGCUACCUUGUGUAGAAAUCACGAAGAGCUGUUGCCAAGUUCUUUUAACUCUUCAAAAUGCAUUUUUCCUUUCCCAGGAUUUAGUUUCCCUUGGCCUUUACCAUCAUUGCCAUUGCCUCCACUACCUCCCCUUUCAUCACUCCCAUUCCCUCCUCUGCCACCGUUGUCAUCCUGGCCCUUUCCCCGCUUACCGUACCCGAAUCCACCAUCUUUGCCUUUCCCUUUUCCACCUCUCCCUCCUUUUCCUCCUAGCCCAUCUCUUUUUAAUCCACCCCCUCCACCUGCAUUUAAUCUAGGAGAUCCAAGAACUUGGAUACCUAAUUUCCCUACGCUAUCUCCUCCACCCCCACCUGCAUUCAAUCUGGGAGACCCCAGAACCUGGAUCCCAUACAUUCCCCCUUCCCCUCCAAGUAUCCCCCAGCGGCAAACACCAUAAGAUGAUUUGGCCUUCUCUCAAUUCAAUUAAAUUCCAGAAUAAUUAUGUUUGAUACUAUUGUUAUAUUCAUGAUUUCAGAAGCUUUUCAUAAAAUUGGAGAUAUAUUGGUACAGAAAAUAGAAUGUACUUGUCUUUGUUUCGAUAACAUUAUUAUGUAUAUAUGCAUGCAAUUACCACCCCCUUCUGCAUCGCCUACUUACAGGCAUCCACUUAAUACUCCAAACGCGCACCAAGGAACAUGAAAAAGAAUUCUUUCAGCCACCAACGUUCAAACUGAGCACUUAUCAGUCACUGUAGCCGUAAAUUACACCUUCGUUAGACAUGUCCAUCUCUGUAUCAUGACAGAACUGGACUGGAUGCCUGUGGCAAUUCUGCUUAACGAAACGAUGCACGGUUUCUGGUCCUCCCCGGGUCAAAUUUUAAUUUGUCCACUCAAUCAUCAGCUUUAAAUAAUUAUUUGUUUCUUAUCCAGAAGAAAGAAAUUGUUUAAGCAACAUAUGACUAGUUUUCAAUUGUUGAGGAACGCCUGUCACGUCCUAACUAUAAAUUCAUUCCUUGACAAAUCCUAAACCAUAUUAACAGUACCAAUUGCGGUUUCCUGGUAAUGUACUUUCAAUGUUCUGUUUUAAUGCCUGCAACUCCCCGCUUUCGAGCUGCUUCACCUACUGAAGUAGUUCAUCGAUGGUGACACCAGCAUCUUGCAGGAAAACAGAAAAAAAAUUAAAAAGCGAAAAGCCAUUAGGGGAAAAGGAAAAAGAAAAGCACCAAGGGAUCAUAUUCGAAAAUUAUGCCAACCCUUAAUCUCUCUUCCUCCUCAUCUCGCUUUCUCCUUUUGUCCACAUUCAUAUUAAUCAGAGGAAUUUGCUCUUCAUCAGCUCUACCCUCCUUUGCUGUUAUUGCUUAAGCUGAUUGACGGAAGAAAAAUCAACCGAAAAAAAUUUAAGCGAGAUAGUUUGUUGUGUUAUGUCAGGGAUAUAACUGUAACCCCAACAAAAUGAAACACCCAUGGUCUUACAACUGAUAAAACUCUCAGCAUAACAAAUAUCGAUCAAAAUGUCAUUUACUUUUGCACUCUUGUCCUCCAAUUAAUGUUCUUCUUUGCUACUUUUACCUAGUUCUCAACUUACUAGUUAUUGGCUUCCAUCUAGUCCAUUUUGAUCUUCUACUAGUUCAACAUCAUCUUUACUGCCAUUGUAUUCAUAUAUUCAUUCAGCAACUAUAAUUAGACUAGCAAGCCUACUCCGUCGGGGCAAAUAAACGCAUGGCAUCAAUUGAUUUCAGGUUAAAAAUGUUUUGAAAUGCCACUAAAUGCGCAUCAUUCUUGAAAAUCGUAAAUGCGAAACUGGCAGUGAACAUACUUGCAAUUCAAAUGAAAACCAGACAAAAUACUUAUCACAAUUUGAAAAUUGUAUGAGCAUAUAAUCUAGAGGAACAUAAAGUGAUACCUUCCCCUUGCAACUUGAUUAAACUCUUCAUGUGUACUAUUACUUAACACUUGUCCAUCUCUCUGUGGACCCUAGCUGCCUCCAUGUCGCAAGAGUUAAAACAGGCAUUUAGAUAGAAAAAUGGAAGAAGAAAAAAACUAUCAAAUUUAAGGAAAAGCAAUUCUGACGCCGGGGCGUGGUGAAGACACUUGGUGUUGUGAAUGACACUAAUCGUGGCAAGGUUAGAAACCCCAUUAAGGUGCAUCAUUAAUUUUGACAAGGUUAGAAAACCCCACUAAGGUGAGGAAUAGCCAAAAUUCAACUUUGGUUGGUUAGGCUAAAAAUACUAAAAACCUCUUACUUUUUUGAAAAAAGUCUAAAGGAAAUAAAUACUCAUGCUUAAGAAAAUAUCCUUUAUUAAUUCUCAACUUCAAUGUCUCAUAACUAAGCCAAGGGUCUUAUUUAUAGUAUUAUAGACCCACAUCUUAAUAAAACUCUGCUUCAUGUUGUCUAAUACAAUUAGAAUAGUUAACAAUAGAUUUAAAUAAAAUAGGUAUUCUAUUCUUAAAUAGAACAUAACUAGCCUAAAAUCCUAGCACAAGCAAAUUAAAUAAAAAGAAGAAUUUUAUUAUACCUAUAAUUCCUAACUAAUAAUAAUCUAACAAUAUACUCUUGUAUCAUUCUCUUUAAGUUGGAGAAAAUUUGUCUUCAAGAUCCAUAUCUUCUUCAUGUUCUUCAUAGUAAAGAGAGGGAUCAGCUACAUUGAAAGUUGCAAGAACUUCAUAAUCUCCAAGUUUAAUCUUGUAAACAUUCUGAUUAAUACGUUCCAAGACUCGAAAUGGUCCAUCAGCUUGAGGAAAUAAUUUUGCAUAGAUUUAGGAAAAUGUUCUUUCCUUAAGUGAAUCCACACUAAGUCUUCUUUUUUAAAGCUAGUUGGCUUUUUGUGCUUGUUGGCUUGCUUUUGGUAUCUGUUAGUCUGACGAAUAGUUUUCUCUCAAACUUCUUCAUGAAGUUUCUUGAUUUGCUUAGCACGUUCUUCAACAUCAACAAAAAAUUCACAAGUAGUUGGUAAUGCAGGAAGGUCUAAAGGACUAAAAGGGCGUUUUCCAACAUUACUUCGAAUGGACAUCUCCUAGUGGUUUGGCUCACAAAAUUAUUGUAAGAAAAUUCUGCUUGUGCUAACACAAGAUCCCAUUGGUGAAUGUGUUCACCCAUAAAGCUUCAUAAUAAGUUUCCCAAACUUUUAUUGACCACUUCUAUUUGACCAUUCUUGGAUAAGGGUAAAGAUACUUCAUUUUCUUUAGAAACUAAUAAGAGAAAUAAAUGGUUUGACUCAUAGUAAUCUUUGUUUAGGGUAGACAUAGUGAUGAGUGCUUUAUCUUCUUCUUUUCUGUUUGGGCGGUCUUUUUGCUUUAGUGGAGUCAACAUAAUUUUUACUCCAUCUUUAAUGAAGGAAGAAGUAUUCUUGUAUCCAUCAUGGUGAGCUUGAUGAUCAUAUUGCCAUGGGUGUCCCAACAACAAGUGGCAUGCGUCCAUUAGGAUAAUGUUGUUGAUUUCUCACGCAAGUGCACGUAUCGUUAUCAAGUAAUAUAAUGAUGAAGUAGAGUAUCGUUCCCACAAAGAAUUAUUUUAAUUCUUAUUGUUAACUAAUAAAAGUAUAACACUAUAAUUUUACCUAAAUAAUUAAAAAUUAAAUUAAAAGGAAAAACAAAUUAAAGACUAAAACUAAUCUAAAUUAACCAACAAAAUUAUUUUAUUAGAUUUAAUUGACUUUUAGACCUAAGAUUAUGAUGUCCAUCAAUUUUUCAUCUAAAUAUUAUCUCUCUCUCAUAACUUAGUUUAAUGGAUUAAGUUGCUAACCUAGAGUCUUAAAUUAUUUAGAAGUCUUUGUCGAGUUUCUUAUAAAAAUAUCUCUCUCAAUUAACUUACUAUAUGUCUAUACAAAUUAAUUAAAGAUAGAUUCAUUAAGUUCAGGCUAUAAUCCUAGCUAUGUAUGACUUAUAGGUGUAUGUCUACCCUAUAUGCAAAUCAAACACCUAAUCAACUAAGUGUAUUCGAUCAUACGCUAUUCUAUUCAAAGUUUACCUAAAUCUCCUUCAUCAGGGCUUAACUUAGGUUUUCAAUUCAAUCUAAUUGGUGGCCAGUCAACUAAAAGCAUUAAGAACCGAAUAAAAUAAACAACUUAAAUUCAUAAAACAUAAGCAAAAGAGAGAUGAAUGAAUCAGACUACGUCUUGAGUUCAACCAUAAUCUUAGAUAAAUAAAUUAGUUCUCCAUCAAGUCACACAUCAUCAUUAAAAAAGGUUUAAACAUUAAAAACAAAAUCAAGAAAAGGAGAAUAACAAAAAGAUAGAAAAACCUAAGAAUUGUAUUCUUGAUCUCUAAAUCUCCAUGAAUCCUUCAAAUUCUUCUUAGCUUCAAUGACUUUGCGAUUUGAUUUUUAGCUUUCAAUUUUUUUUUGUUCUCUCCUAAAAGUCCUCUAAAAGGUUAUUUUUAUAAAGCUUUAAAGUUAGGCCAAGUUGGGUGAAGAAAGAAGUCAAUUCCAAUUAGGAUUUCCUCAAUAAACUACGUGGGCUGCAGCCUACCUCUUCCAAAGCCGCGACCUUGACCAUUUAAAUAGUAGAAAUUGUAAUUGUUCUAGGACUACUGUAGUGCUCCAACUUCAAUAUGAUUUUUGACCAUUUUCCAAGCUUAAUUGAGUGAAGUGGUAAACAUCAGAGUUGUAGCUUUUUCUCUUAUCUUUCCAAUGGUUUAUGAAUCAUUUCAUUUAAAGUUCUAUAGAGAGAGUUAUGAUUGAAAUACCAAAACAUAUACAGUGAAAGUCUAUACCUUAAAAUUGCUCUCAUUCUUUCAUUAAAAUUCUUCCUUCAUUAAACUCUUACAAAAGUACAAAUAAAUCAACAACAACCUAUCUUAAUCACAUUAACACAAAAUUAAGCAUCAAAUUAACUAAAAUUAGAUUGACUCACCUAAAUUGACUAACUUAAAAAAAUUUAAAUAAAACCUAUUAAUUUUUAUGCAUUGCUACAAGAAGUAAGCUAAAUUACUAUCAAAAUUAAGUCCAAAUAGCUCUAUAUUAGAGAGUUAUCAGAUAACAUCACCCUAGAUUUCAUCUUGAUACUUACUUCCAAUAGAGAAUUUCACACAUCAACGCUUCGUUACCUUAAUCUCUUUUCCUUUUCUAAAUCAUUGUAGCUUGUAAGGAUGAAAUUGUGUUUCAGUUAGAAGUUUCAACUUUUUCAUCUUGUGGUUAGUAACAACAUUCUUAUAGAUUCUAUCAAUAAUGACAUUGCAAACUUUCCUUUGGGACGUGCACCUUGUAUAGAAUAUGUUAUGACGAAGCCAACUUUCAUUUUCAGUCAUCAUAGUAGUGUUGAGGUUACAACGAACAACAAGAGCUUCUCCAUGAUUAGCAUAAACUUCUUCUAUCUCAUUGUUAUUGAAUAUUUCUAGCUCAUUCUCUCUUUCUUCCAUGCUAGGUUAUUCCAUAACUUUUUCUUCUACAAAGGAGAUAAUUCUUCGAUUUAGACAAUUAGAAGCAAUAUGCCCAAAUCCUUGGCAUUUGAAGCACUUCUUGUUGACAUUAGAAGCAUAAGUAGAAGUAGUCUUUUUAUUGUUUGAAGUUUUGGAUGAGUUUAUUGAAUUUUGUUUCCCACGGUUUAAGGUGGAAUCUCUUUGUCUAGAUGUACUCACUAAGUUUUUUUAUGAUUGUUGUUUCUCAACCUUUAAUGUUAAUCUAAUGACAUCAUUUAAGUUCUAAUAUGGUUGUAAUUGAGCAGGAUCUGUAAUUUCAGCAUUGACACUUCUAAGAUAAUGAGCUGCAGUUUGCUUUUCAAGUUCAUGAACAUCGUACUUCAUGUGAAGUUGUUUGAACUCCAUUGUAUAUUCUUCCACUGAUAUUGUUUUUUGCCUCAAGUUAUGAAAUUUGAUAAAAAAUUCUUGUAGAUAAUGCUCAGGAAGGAACUUACGUUUAAGUUCUCGACGCAUCUUAUCCCAUGUUUUGAUCUUGUUACGACAUUAUCUUUCUUGUUGUCGUUUGAGAUUUUCCCACCAAAUAGGGGCAUACUUCUUUAAUUUAGUUGCGACAAGCUUUACACUUUUUUCAUCAGGAAUAUCCUUAAGCUGAAAAACUCUUUCUACUAUGUAGAGCUAGUCAAGGAAGUCAUCAAGGUGAAGUUUUCUUUCAAAUUCAAGAACGUCGACUUUGAUUCCCAAUUCUCUGGUAGUGCAGUUCUCAGUGGAUGUAUAAGUAUUUCUUAAUCAGAGAACUAAUUUUGAUAGAAAGGGUUUCAUCUUUUUCAUCACUAGAGCUACUGUUGUUGAUUUGAGCAGCAUCACGUCUUGUGAGUUACUCUUGUAAUUCUUGAAUUUAGUGUCAUAAUUCUUGAAUCUCGAUCUCGUGAUCAUUUCUUUGACGAUUUUUACGUCUUGGUAGCAUUUUAUUGUUUGGUGAUGAUGAUGUGCUGAUGUAGAAAAAAUAUGAUGAUAUGACUAUAAAGCAAUAAAAGAAAUGGAAUUACCUGAACAAGGAGUGUCGAAACCUGACAGCGAACUUGAACUAUGUAGCGAACAAUGAUCCUCCCACUUUGAUACCAAACUGAUGUUGGUCAUGAAGACACUUGGGCAUUGUGAAAGAACUAAUCGUGACGAGGUUAAAAACCCUACUAAAGUGAAUCACCAAUCUUGGCAAGGUUAGAAACCCCACUAUGGUGAAGAAUAGCCAAAAUCCCACUUUGGUUGGCUAGGCCAAAGAUACUAAAACCUUCUUACUCUUUUGAAAAGAGCUUAGAGAAAAUAAGGACUCCUGCUUAAGAAAAUAUUCUUUAUUAAUUCUCAACUUCAAUGUCUUAUAACUAAGCCUAAGGAUCUUAUUUAUAAUAUUAUAAGCCCACAUCCUAAUAAACCUUUACUUCAGGUUGUCUAAUACAACUAGAGUAGUUAACAAGAUAUUUAAAUAAAAUAGGUGUUUUGUUAUUGAAUAGAACAUAACUCGCCUAAAGUCCUAGUACCAGUAAAUUAAAUAAGAAAAAGAAUUCUAUUGUACCUAUAAUUCUUAAAUAAUAAUAAUCUAAUAAUAUACUCCUGUAUCAAAUUUUAUUGGUAAGAUGUGAGUGAUUUAUUCAUUACUGAUAAUAGAGUUAUAUGGAUCAUAGCAUUCAUUAAGACACAAUUUAUAUAUUGUUAUUCCAGUUAAAGACAUCAAGUAAACCAAAUCUUACAAGUGGAUUAUCCUUCCUAGAUGACUAACAACAUUGUUAAUGAUGGAAAGACUUACAACCAAAUAAAAAACUAUAAGUAACAAUUACCUCCGAAUGUGAAGGCCUUGGUAUUGUGUUUGAUGUGGGAUCUCGUUGAGAUUCAACAUUCGAAGGGGAUGCUCUUAAAGAGCUUCCAUCUUCACUUGCUGCAUUUACUAGUGAUCUUUUUUCGAACUCUUAUCAAAUAGCAUUUGAGAACCUUCACCAACAGGAAUGCUCGCAUUUUUAUUUGAAUGCGAAGAAGUUUUCUCCUUACGGUUAUAUUUCAUUUUAGGGUAACCACUAGGGGUACCAUGUCCAUUUUGGUUAUGUCAUGAAGAUUUCUAUUUAAAGUCGUACAACCUUACUCAUACUGAGUUGGAUAUAACGAAGACUUUAUCUCUAUCACAUGAAACAAACUUAGGUCUUUAGAAAGAGUUCUAUAAGCCACCUUGCAGCAUAACCAACUUCAUGGCAAUUUUUUAAGCUAACAUAAAAAAAAGCAAGAGAAAAUUAGGUGAUCAAUAAUCGAAAGCCUCCAUAUAUAUACAAAUAUGUGAAGUACAAACCAAUAUUCUUUCUGCAUUGCUAAUAAUCAUGCCUCUAGUCUUGAAAGCAUAACGGUGUUUUCAAAACCCUAUUUGUCAUGAGUUGGUUCAACAAAAUUAACCUUUAACACGCCUAUUGCAGAAGUGUUAAAGUGGAAAAACACAACAAGAAAAAUGGUCAAAGUACACAUAGGUCCUUAUAUUUUUGUUAAUUUAGUACUUUUACCCAAAAACUAGUGAAUUUAAUCUCUGUAUUAUGAGAUUUGUGCAAUUGAGUCCUUUUGUCUAACUCUGUCCAAAUUGACUAUUAAUGGUACUAAUGUGGCGUUGAUGAGUCAAACCAAAAAAAUAUUCUUUUAAAAGAAGUUUUUGUAAAUUUUUUUUGCCACAUCAGUUUCUUUGUGUCAUGUCAUAGGAGAUCAAAUUAUACAAAAUUGUAAGGUACAAUAUGGACUAAAUUGAACGAAACUCUGUAGUACAAUGACUCUAAUGAACAAAAUUCUAUAGUAUAGGGAUUAAAUUGAAAAAGGCUCUAUCAUACAUAAACUAAAUUAGGUACUUUUACCAUUUUUUCUUGGAUUAAUAUUCGAUACACUAAUAGUUUAUAGCUUCUAUACACUUUCAGCUUACCAAAUGCUAUCACCUCAUUAAUGAGGCAAAACUAAAAUUUUUUAAGAGCUUAAACUUAAAUCUUAAAAGUUUUUAAUAAUUAAUUAGAUAAAAAUUAAAAUAGUUUCUUUUUCCUUGAAUGUGAUUAUCACGUUCUGUUCUUGUUUUCCAGUAGUUAUCAACAAUUAAAUCCUAAGAGAUAAAGUACUAAUGAAACCUAAAGAAAGAGAAAGAGUGAGGAUUCUCAAUUUCCUUUGUUAUUCCUUAGCAAACAUGUUGAAUCCCUAAGAGUGCUAUUGAUGCAGUAUUUGACAAUUCAAAAUUAGGAUCCAUAAAAGAAAGUGAAAAUGUAAUUGAAAAGGAAUUGGUGAAUACAUGAGACCUUUCUGAUUAGAUGGUUGGAGAUAUUGAACUGCUAGGACAAGAAAUUGCAAAGGAGAUUGAAUCCAUAUAAGGUGAUCAAGUAUGUCUCUUGUCUAAAGGGAUUGAUCACCAAGAAGGUGCAUCUCAUAGUACAGAUUCUUCAAAAGAGAAAGGGUGGCUGUAAAGGAGACAGGUGAAGAAAUUCACAAUGAAGCUAAAGAUGACGAUAUGGUUAAGGUAAUAUUUUACGAUUUGGAAAUGCCAUAAGCAUGGAAAGUGAAGUUAAGGUGGGGGAAAUCUAAUACUUUUGGGAGUCUCAAUUUUGAAGAAGUCAAUUCACUAAAAGGGCUCAAACCAAUAGAUUGGGACUGAAGUACUUCAUAAGGUUUUGUUUAGGGUUUUAACAUGUGCUACUAUCAUUGUAACUUUUACCCACAAGAACAACAAGGUAGCAUGACACAUGAUAAUUAAACUUAAAACCAGCAACCAAAGUUAAAUCAUAAGAAAUAUAAACCUUAAUAAACUUUUGCUAAUAAAAUUUAUUUAUUUGAAAAAGAACAAUUUUUAUCACAUUGCAACCAUAUAAGAGAAGAAAAAAAUUACUUUGAAAUCUUUAGCUUUUGAAGUUGCCAAAUUUUACGAAACUUGUUCUUUAAUCAAAGAAUUAAAAAAGAGAAAAAAAUGAUGAAGUUUUAGAGAGAUAAAAGAAGAGAAGAACAAGAAAAUGUUGAAGGGAGUUGGAGAGAGAAAAAUAAUUACUAUUUAUGUAUAUUUAAAUAAAAUUAUUAGUAUUUAAUUUUUUCUUAUAUGUAUUUGCAAAUAAAAUUUUUAAUAUUUAUUAUUAAUCUCUUUUAAGUUUUAAUUUUUACCUCAUUAACGAGGUGGUAGCAUUGGGUAAGCUGACAGUGUAGAUAAGUUAUACACUUUCAAUGCAUCAAAUAUAAAAUCUAUUUUUUUAGUGUUACAUUUGUACCAAAAAUGUAAUUUUACAUAUCUGAGAUUCUUCUUUACUAAUUAAAAGCCAUUAACUUUCCAUUUGCACAAAAAAUGUACAAAUUAAUUACACUACUUAAUUAUAAAAAAAAUCAAAUCUAGUUAUGAAAGGAAUUCAUUUAUAGGAAGAACCAAUGGUUCACCUCCAUAUCAAUAUACAAAAGUAUUGAGCCAUAAUAUUCAGGCAUAUGCACAUGAGCAAAACAUACGUAUACCCCAAAAUUACAUGGAUGAAAUGAAUUGAGUCAAAAUUUUUAUAGCAUAUCCAUUGUAUUCACAUUACUAACACUGUUUAUUCUCAGCAUUAAUUGCAAAAUAAUAAAAGAACAACAAAUCAUUUGACAUUUUUUCUGUCAAAAUAACAACAUUUCGCUAGCUAGUUAUAAAAACAAGUUGUUAUGUUCUUAUAGAGGAAACUAGCUAGCAGGUGUUUUUCUUUUGUUUAGUGAGUAAGAGCAAUGGGAAUGGUAAGAGUUACAACUCUUUCUUCAUCUUUUUCUUCAUUUACAUCUUUCUUAGUUCUAAGAGGAAUCAAGCGCAAGGAUAUGUCUUGGUACUAACAUAAGGAUUAUAAAGACUAGCUUUGGAAUCAGCUAGCGGCACAACAAAAGAUCUUCAUCCCUUAAUGCACUUUGUCUAACAAGCAAACCACCCAAAAGUAUGAAUACCAAUUGUAUUAAAAGCUAAGACAAUACAACUCUUAACCUUAUCUAAAUGGAGUUGAAGUCCUGCCAUGAAAAACAAGAAGAAAAACCAUUAGGUGAAGUAGAGUACCCAAGUUGGUGCGCCACUCUAUAAGGUGAACACACUUCAACUCUCUAUCUACACCUUAACUAGUGCUCUCAAUCAUAGAAGGCAAUAAGGAACUAUGAACCCAUACACAAAAGUUAAACCUUAAUGAGCUCUUUUUUCCAUACUAAAGUGGAUGGGAUCAUAAUAAAUCCCAUGAUCACCAAAUCCAUUAUUAGGUUGCACAUACGAUCAAUAAUUAAAUUCUUUUACCAUAUCUAUUUCUUGAAUAAUAUUACCCUUUAAGGUUUGAUCAAUCCAUGUCCAAGCUUUGUAAUUAUUCUUGGAUAAACAAUUUUUCAUAAAUGAAGAUGCAACUAAAUAUACAUUAAGCAUAAGGAUGAAAGUUCUAAACCUUUCCCUGAGACACAUCUUAAUCAAAGAAGCAUUCAUAUAAGUUAAAAUUUUGUAACUACCAACUAAUUCCAAAGGCUUGGGUUAAUACAAGUCUAGCCUUUUACCAUAGAUCCUCGAUACAAUGAAGUAAGAGAAAAAUUCACUCCCUUAGAAAUCUUUAUUGUGAAAGGGAUGAAUGUCAAAGAGAUCAAAUCAUUAGACACCUUACAAAUGCAUGUUGAGCCAACGACGGGAUUAAUAAAGCCACCAACUCAAGCUCAUGGUUUGAGUAUUCAAGAUGGUUACUCUCAACUUCCUUAAGUUGAACUUUUUAUAAAAUAGCCUUACCCAAUUGAAGAAUUGUUAUUGAUUAUGCACACACAAGUAUAUGCAUCGAAUAAGUAUAUAUAGACAAUAAGUCCAAAAUAAUAUCUGUCAAACCUUACCUUGUAAAAUAUUAGCCAUGUCAUUCAUGUGAUUGACAAUAUGCUUGUAUACUUGGAAAGCCCUGAAAAAUCGUCAAAAGUCGGUAGUGUACCUAGUAGUGCAACUAAGUUGAAUUAAGCCUCGAACUAGACCAAAUAAAGAUUUUAAGAUGAAAUUUAGAAUUUUAAAUUCCCAGAAUGAUUUAAAAUGGUGAUUCGAAGUUCGAGGACCGAUUUGGAGUCAAAUUGGAAUUUUCAUGACCUAAGGGUAAAAUGGUUAUUUUGCCUCCCGAGGUUAAGAUGUGAGUGUUGGAUGAAAUUUUUGAUUAAGAUUGACUAUUUACAACAUAAUUUGAGAUUGAGAAGUAAAAAAUUUUAAUUUCGACAUUUUUUCGAGUAUAGGGGUAAAAUAGUCAUUUUGCCACCUUAGGGGCAAAAUUGUAAUUUUACACCACCCAACACUUGUUCAGCACAUGGAUUUUACCCAAUAUUAUCAUGGAUAAUUGAGAAAAUUUAAGUGGUGGAGAGAGAUUACUUAAUAGGUAAGUAUGACACAUGGAUCAAUGGAAUGGUGACAUGUGUCAAAUUUUCAUCCAUUAAAUAUUUGGCUUAAAAAUCAGCACAUAAAUCAGUCCAUUUCUCUUCAUAUGGCCGGCCAAAGGAAGAACAAAGAAAGAAAAGAAGAACAAAAACCCUAGGUGGAAAAAUUCAAGGGAAAAGUGUGAAAAUUCAAGAAAACAAGUGACAAAAGGUAAGAUUUUUCAAUUCUAGCUUGUGAUUUACCUUUCCUAUGCAUUCUUUUUCAUUUUCCAUGGUUGAGAAUCAAGAUUUCAUGAUGAAUCCCUUGCUGGCCGGACAUGGGGGGAAGAGUUUUGAUGCUUGAUUUGGUUAGAUUUUAAGAUAUUUUAGUGUUUUUAGUUAGUUAGUAAUGUGUAGCAUGAAAAUCAAGCAAGAAAAAUUCAUUUUCUUCCAUUACCCAUCAUUGGCUGAAUUUUCCAUGUAAAGUGUCACGACCCAAAUUUCGGGCCAUGACUGUGCAAAGGCCCAAUGGACGUAGUCUACUAAGCCCAAGCAAGCCUAUCUAUUUAUCCUACUCAUCAUUCCAUCAAAUAUUGCUAAGUCACAUUUUAUAACUUUAAAUCAAAAUAGUGAUAGACAUUGCCAACUCGUACUAGCAUUACUCAUUUAAAAUAUACAUACAUUAUCUACAACAUGUAUUCUAGUAAUUUACAUUAAGUUGUCUAUACAUAUCAAAAGGAGACUCGAUGUCCAGCGGAGGGACUCGGACGAAUGUACAACUACUGAAUGUCGAGACACCUACCAAAAGAUGGAUACAAGUCUACAAGGACACCUCGUCCUAGUUACCGGCUGCCUCGUGAUCUGAAAACAUGAAGUAGAAAACGGUGAGUAUAAACCCAGUGAGUGAACAAGGAAAGAAACAAGCAACCAUAAGAGAGAAUUUAAAAUCAUGAUGCACUUGUUUUAAAAUAAUGCAAUUUAAUUUCAUUCAUAUUGAAAACCCCUCAUUAAACCCUCAAAAUAAUUAAUCACUUGGUAAUGAUGAACCCAUAUAUAACAAAUAAUUUGAAAAAUGAAAGCCUUACUGAUACACAAGCAAGUCAAAUGUGACAACGAAUCUUUGCUGCAGCGAAAAGGCAUUAAGUUAUUAGCCAAACAAGGGUUCCUCAACUGGCAGAGGGUUUCUCAUCAAACCUACUCAUUUUAAACUUAAUUCACUUAUUCCUUAAUGUUGGAAGUCCAAGCUCAACUAUGGUACCAAAGAAAUGGAAAAUGGAGCAACAAUCGAACCAAAAAGGAAACGAAACAGAAAGUUAAUUUUGGUCGUAAAACAGAAUGUUUCUCGUUGCAGUACCUUUUUUGCUGCAGCGAAAAUGGAUUCUCGCUGCAGUGAGUUUUCGGCCAGCCUUCCCCUUCAAAACCCGAGAGUUUAUUGCUACAGCGAAAAUGAAUCUCGUUGCAGCGAGAAACAGAGCACCAAGAAAAAAAGUUUCCAUUCACUCAAUAAAAGGCCAUCUUGCUAAACCAACAAAAUCAACAUAAAACACAUGAAAAUUCCCAAAGUGCAAUGUAUCAAAUUUCACAGAUAUGUCAAUCAUAUAUCAUAUUCAUGAGCUUUCAUUUCAUAAGUAUAGAUAUGCAUAAUUACAUAGAUAAACAUCAAUAUCAUCAUAAUCACACCCGGCUCAUGUACAUCCCCCCACAUCGUGCACAUAGCCGGCGCCAUCGUGUGCAUCCCCCCACAUCGUGCACAAUCAGUGCCAUCGUGUACAACCCCCCACAUCAUGCACACGGGCACUAUCAUCAUCCAUCUCUCACGCCACCAUCAACACCGGCAUGUGCAUCCCCCACAUCGUGCACACACACGGUUACAGUCAUUGUACACAAUAUCAAUCAUCAUGCACAACACACGUAUAUAUUUAUCAUCAUAAUGCAAUAGUGCAUGAAUCCAUAGCAAUCACAUAUCACCACAUAAAACCAUUUAGCAAAAGCUUGUUCCCAAGGCACUUGUUUUUCAUGAAAAACUUGAUAAUUCAUUCAAAUGUGUGGCAAAUACAUUAUAUUCCCAAAACAAGUUUUGAAGGUAGUUCACUCACCGGUAUAUUGUUGAGCCUUUAGCUGACUCUAAUUCCCCUAAUGAUCCAAUUGGAAAGAUGGGACUUCGUUAGAACCUAGAAUCACAUUAGCAUAAGCAAUAGGUCAAUUCACACAUUAUAAACCCUAAAAGAUAUCUCUUAGCUAGCUUUCAGUUGCCACAUUAAAUGGCUAUCUAUGUUCACUAUCUUAAUCACUACAAAAGGAAUGAACAUACUCAACAAUAAAAUAGCUCAUAAUCCCAAUUACUAGACAUUAUUCAUAGCUAAAAAUCAAGCUUAGUUCAUCACUUACCCUAGGGUUCCUUUGUAGUCAAAUUCUCUUCCAAUAGCUUCCAAACAAAUGGGGUAAUUCUCUCUUUCUCUCUCUAAAAUGCCCAACUAGUGAGAGAAAGUAUGGAAAUAAGAUUUUUCAAGGGUUUUAAGGCGAGAGAGUGGAAGAAUACAAGGGUUCUAGUCAUAAAGGCACAAAGAUAUGAAAACUAAGGCUAGAGAGAGAGAAUUAUGCAAGCUCCAUAUCAAGCGUCCAUGGAGGUUGGAAGCAACGUGAGAUGGAAGAAGAAGAAAAAGACAAAGCUGCUAGAAAAUGGGAGAAGAAGCUCCUCGAAACAAAAUAUUUAUAGCUCAAAUUUAUCCUUUCCUUUGAAAUUACCAAAUUACCCCUCCACAAAUUAGCUUCUUCUCCUCCAAUCUUUCAUGCACUCUUUUUGUUCUUUUUGACACUGGGAUAAGGUCCAUAAUGGUCUAGACAUGCUCAGGUUCAUGAAAACUUAAAAUUCUAACCCGAGGUGAAAAAUGACCAUUUUGCCUUUGUUGUGAAAAUUAUUGCCACUUCUAGUUUUCUUCAUGUUUUCAUCAUUACACAUCAUUUAUGAGGUCUUAUGCCUAUUUAGACCUUAAAAUAUCAUAAAACUUUCUUCUGGGAGCUUAUUAGAGAAAAUGACGAAACUACCCCUAGCCUUUAUUAUUACGUCUAUGCCUAGUUACGAGCCUGUAGAGGCCAAUGUCUCACAUAAAGUGUGGAUGCUGGAUUUGAUUUUUAUUUCAAGUGAAUUGGUCAGGAAAUGAUGAAUUAUGGUGAAAAAACAAGUAGGAAAAAUCAUAGUGUUGAUGCACCCACCAUGGUCGAAAUUCCCAAGAGAAAAUGUGAAGAUGAUUUUGCUAAAUUUUAUGCUAUUUGAUUUGUGUUUGAUGGUUUAGAGAAUUGGAAGAAAAAUGGAGUUAAUUGGAGAUGAAUUGGACUUAUUGGCCAAUUAAUCGAGUGAUAGAUUGAAUUAGGCCAAUACCGUUUUAUUUAGGUACACAAUUGAAUUUGUGUAGAACACCAUGUUUAGACGAUAAUCCGAACAAUUUGCAUUCCAUUUCAUUCAUCCAUAUAGUUUUAUAACAGUUUAGCACCAAUGUGGUAAAUUGCUUGAUUGUGUAUUAUGUCUAGGUGGUGAAUCCUCCGAUAAGGGCAAAGAAAUUGUACUCGAGGAUCGAUAGUCGGAGUACUCUAAAAAUUCAACUCCUGAAAUAGUGAGUAACCUUAUCAUCAUUUUAAAUAUCUAAAGUGGUCUUUUUAUUCAAUUUUGUGAAUUUUAUAGAAAAUGAGUUAAAUGGUAAAUCUUUGUGUUUUGUAACUAAAAUGUUAUUUAAUGAAAUGAUAUUAUAACAUCGUCUUGAAAUUGAAGGGUGGUUUGAAAAUAGAGUAAUUGGAGACUGUUUUCAUGUGUUGUAAAUUCAUGGUUCUAAUUGAUUAGCUUAUGGCAAUAUUUGCAUGGAUGGCUAAAUUGGAAUUUGUGCUGAAAAUGUAUAAACUGUUGUUUGCCUUAAUAUGCUGGAUAAUGAUAAAAUUGCCAUGUCAUGCUGUUGAAUUUUUAUUGUAUGGUGGGUUUAGCUUGUUGUAGUGGGCGGGUUUUGUUGACCAACCUAUUAGAGGGGCACGAAAUUCGGUUAUAUAAGUACCUUGGUCAGAGAGGCGCGUAGGGUAUGUCUUGAGGUAUGGUUAGAGUUCACAUCACACCAAACCACCUCGUGAUGAUGAACUCCGCUAACGCCAAGGAAUGGUUGUGUUUUUCAAGCUAAAAAAUAUGUUUAUGUGUAUACGAAACUUUUUAAUAGCCUUGGCGGACUCGGUUAAAUGCCUCGGCCAAGGUAUUCCUGAGAAUGAUUUUGGCAGGAGCCAAGCUUUUAAGAUACUCAUAAGCCAUGUUGAUUAUUUAAAUGAAAUGAAUAUUUAUGUUAUGAAUUACAUAUUGAGAUGGAAUAUUUUAAUCGUCUCCAUUUACACGACUUUAUAUAUUUUGAAUGGUGUUUGUUUACUCACUGGGAUUAUAUAAUCUCACCACCCUCCUUUCCACCCAUUUCAGGCUCAGAAUAAGCUGUAGAUAGCAGAUAUCGUCGAAGGCUACAGUUGGCUUUACUUCCUUAAAAAUCGUAGGUUCACAGCCUUCGUUCACUUUUGUCAUUUGAAGGCCCAUGUGUCACUGUAAAUUAAAUUUUAUACUUUGGUUAUCUGUAUUACAGUAUGUAUGAAUUUAUUUAGAUUUUACGCUAUAAAAAUUAUUUACCAGUAACUUUAUAAAUAUUGUUUUAUAAAAAAAUAGAAUAUUUUAUUGAAUAUUUUUAUUAUAUUCAAAUAAUCAUAAUUUUAUUUUAAAUGAAGGUUUUAGAUGUUUAAACUUAUUUUUGAUUAUGAAUUAUGUGUUUUGUACUCGCAUACUACAUUUUUAGUAGAUUUUGAAAUUUUUGAGGAAAAAUAACCAAAAUGCCCUUGUGAGAAAAAAAUUUAUUUUUCUAUUGUUUUAAUUUGGAAAUAGUUUAUAAUCUCUCAAAACAUGAUUUUAGUAACUAAUACUCACGAGGUACGCGAGAAAAAUUGAUGUUAAGCCUUGAGAGGUUUUGAUUGACAUUUCGAGUAAUGAAUGUCUAUCGGGACGUCGCGACGGUUGUCACGGGCUCGAUGAGAGUUCUGGGUCAUGACAAUAUUCCACAAAGAUUUGUUCUUAAAUCUUUACUGAGUACUAAAACUAUGACAAACUAAUUUUAUUCAAGUAACUAAAUUUUAUAGAAAAUUAAUUAAAACUAAAUUAAAGCGAACAUUAAAUUCAUUAACAAGACUUAAAAUUUACUUAAGGAAGGCAAUAUACUAAAACCUAGGAUUUUGAGUUCAUUCAACAUUGCAUCGGACACCAGCUUCUUUUAUUAUUUACAUUUAUGGGUGGUUUUACUAACCUAGAAUCCAAUGCUAUGUACAAGUCUCUGCCAAGAUGCUUGCACAAAUUAUUAACUUAAUUAGGUCACUCAAUGUCUAUAGUAAUCAAUUAAAUAAGGUUCAUUAAGUUAGGAUUCUAAUUUGGCUAUGUAUGGAAAUUGGUGUAUGUCUACUCGAAUUGCGAAUUCGAUCACUUUAGUGACGUGAACAUACAUUAUUCAAAACUUAGUCCAACCUAAAAUGUUUCUGUCGAGUCUCAAUUAGAUUCACAAAUUAGUUAAUUGUUAGCCAGACAAUCAAAAGCAUUAACAACAUAUUUAAAUAAGCAAAACUAUACCCAUUCACAGUAAAUAAAAGAGAAACAAAUAUUCAAAUUAUAUGUUGAAAUCCACCAAAAUCCUAGAAAAAUAGUUUAACUCAUAAUAUCUACUAAGAACUUCAUUUAAAGAAAAUUAGCCAUUAAUCCAAGUCAAGAAAAUAAGAAAAACACAAAAGUAGAGAGAGAAACUAAGGGUCUAAGCUUUGUGAUCUUGAUUCUCCCUCAAAUUCUCUUGCUUUUUUGCUUUGUUUUUAACUCUUUUUCUCCAGAGAAAUUGCUUACUGUCUCCCCUCCAAACCUCUAAAAAAGGUCUAUUAAAUAGGCUCCAAGUAACCUAAUUUCCAAAAUCCCAUCAAACUUUUAUUUUUGAAAAUUCUAUAGUACUGCGGCUAGCACCACAGCCUUGGGUUCCUUGGCGUCGCGACAUUACCCCUUUUGCUACAAUAACACCGCGACCUUUUUUCUCUUUAGUGUUGCGAUGCUCUAGCCUUGGGAAUUUGUAUGAUGCCUUUCAUUUCACCAGCAUUGUGGCUUUGCUCUCCUCAACAUUGUAGCCUUGGCUUCCUCGAUGCUACAACUUUAAGCAACUCAAGGCCGCAAGCUUCACUCAAUGUGUUGCCUUGUACAGAACUAUAACAGUCCAUCAUAUUCCAAUGUGAACUGGGUGCAGUAGUAAACAUGAAAGUUGUAGCCGUAUCUCUUAGCUUUCUAAUGGAUAAAGAAUCACAUCAAUUGGACUUCUGUAGCCCAAUUUAUUCUCAAAAUAUUGCAGCUUGUAUGAUUAAUGCCAUAACCAUACUUGUGUGGUUUUUCAUCAAAUAACCAACAAAGCAAAGGGAGAAAUCAACAACAACUUUUGUUAAAGUAACUUAGAGCAAAAAUCAAACAAAAGUAAACUUAGAUAACUUAAAUUAAUAUCUCAACAUGUAAUUGAACUUAAACUACAAACAAAAUUUAAAAUGCUAAAAUUUGAAUCUAAAAUCUCAAAGGUCUAUCUACUUAAGCCCCAAAAUGUGUCAAAAUAACUCUAUAUGAUAGAGUUAUCACACCUCCAAACUUAAGGUUUUGCUAGUUCUCUAGCAAAACAUGAAAUAAAAUGUAAUAACUUAAAUGAAGUAAACACUUAACUAGAAGUCAAUUGCACCAAUUCAAUAAUCACCUUUAAUAUCAUCAAAAUUUAAUCUAAAUUCUCAACUCUAAACAACACACAAAUAUUAUUCAAGUUCAUAUUUCAAUUCAAAUGCAAGCUUAUUGUUAAGUGGAUUUUCAUGUGUGUGUGCAAUCUUUUCACCUAGAACAUUGUACAAUUUGGAUAAGUUUAUAUUCUUGCAAAAUUCAAAUUAGUAAUUAAAUUCCAUAAGUUUGCUUUUCAUCUCUCUCUCCGCUGAUGUUGACUAACACUAAAUUAAGGAUCAGUAGAACUUUAUUUAGCUUGUAAUGUAUGGCUAGGGUCAAGGUAGGAUAUGGAAUAAUAUGUAGUUCAAAUCACCCUAACCACAUAGUCAACCUAGGACCUAUUCAGAGCUUUAUUUUCUUUCACUAGUGUAUCCCUUUUUAAUCUAAUUUUUUUUGUUCAACACUUCAUUCUUUUUCUUUUUGUUAUACCCAUUUUCUUUUUUUUUUCUUUUUAUCAAUAUUACACCCCUAAACUUAUUUCUUUAUUAGGCAGUGUGAAUAAUACAAUCAUAUUUUUGAACCUUUCAUCAUUUUUCAUCCUUACUACCUCUUUCACUAUUCAACUCAUAACACUUCCUAAAUUGACUUUUGCAUUUAGUAGUGAGGGAUGCAAAAAUAGGAACUAUUUAUAUAAGGGUCUAGACUAAAAGUUAAGUGUUCAAACGAAGAAAAUGGUUAUAUUAAGCUUAAAAAGGGUGAACUAAGGAUAAAUUUUGUAAAGGCAGGCUAAAAAGGCUCAAUCGGUCUGAAGAUGGCCUAAAUCAUCUCCUUAACUAAAUAUAGCCUAAAAUUUCACCUUGAGAGAGAAUCAAACAAAUCCUAGAACUCAAUACAUAAUUCAAAAAUUCACAUUCACAUAAACCUUCUCUAAAUAUGUAUAAUGAAUCAAAGCAAAAGACAUAGUGUUGAACAUGUAAAAGUCUCAUCUUAACGAUAAAGCUUAGCAUAAAAAUUUACAUAACACUCAAACAAUAUUCACAUGUUUCAAAGAAUCAGUAUAGAAUAUAACUAGAAUCGUAUCAUUGGAUACGUAAAUUAAAAGAAAUUGAUGCAACAAAUUCUAGCUCAAAAUUUUAAAACAUGCAUAAAAUAUUUUUAACAAAAAUAAACUAACCUGAAAGCAUCACAAAAACUAAUAACUAUAAAACCCUCCCCCAAACUUAAAUUGCAUAUUGUCCUCAAUGUGCAAACCUAAAAAAGCAUAAGGAAAACAAACUCCCUUAUUAAUCAUGGUAAUGCAUUGAAAGUUCUAAUUUUCUUUCUCCUCAUUUUUAUGCUUUUCAAACUUGCAUACUCAAUAAAACAAGAUAGGGAAAGGUUAUAACUAUUAUUUAAAUAGAAAAAAAUUAACUAAAAUAACAACUGAAUCUAAAAAGAUAUAGCUUGGGUUAUCUCCUAAGAAGCGUUUCUUUAUAGUUAUUAGCCUGACUAUGAUACCUCUUUUCUCACUUUUUCAUCACCGUAAUAAUGCUUGAGGUUUUGGUUCACUACGUUGAAUGCCCUUGUAAGCAUACUAAAAAUUUCAAUAUAGCCAUAAGACAAAACUUUUUCCACUUUAAAUGUUUUCCACCAAUAUGGUUGAAGUCUCCCUAUAAAAGAUGGAUACGUGAACUAGAAAGUACUACUUGCAGUCCUACAUCAAAAUCAAGAUCAUUGGAAAGUGGUGGAUUAUGCUUAUCGUAACAUUGUUUAGUUUAGAGAUGUGGUGGUGGUGUCUCUAACCCAAAAGUUUAUGUUGACUUAGUUGUAGGUAAUGGAGUAAGAUUACCUUUACCUUCAUCAACUAAGUCCACUUUAUAGCAAUGAUCUAUGGUUGAUGGAGACUUAGUUGCAUUAAAAAUAGUAAAUUUAACUAACUUCUCUCUAACUUUGAAAGUUAUUCUACCUUUCUUUACAUCGAUGAGUGCAUUUGCAGCGUCAAGAAUUAACGCCCUAUUAUGAUCGGAACCUUUUGAUCCUCUUCCAUCUCACGUGCAACGAAGUCCAUUAGAAUGUAUAAUUUUCCCACUUUAAUCAAGACAUCUUUUAUAAUCCCAAAAGGUUGCCUUAUUGUCUUGUUUGCUAGUUGCAAUUUGAUUGUAGUAGGUUGAGUCUCCUUUAGUCCAAGUCUCCUAACAAUAGACAAAGGAAUCAUUGAGACACUAGCACCUAAAUCACACAAAGCUUUUGAAAAAUUAACAUUACCAAUUGAGCAAGGGAUAGAAAAGCUCUCUGGGUCCUUAAGCUUCGGUGGAAUCUUGUUUUGGAUUAUCGCAUUGCACUCCUUAGUGUAUGUAAUUGUCUUAUACUCCUCUAAUUUCCUUUUUUAUUGUCAAUAUGUCCUUCAGAAAGUUCACAUAUGACAGCAUUUUCUUUAAAGCUUCUGCGAAAGGAAUGUUGAAGUGAAGCUUUCUGAAUAUCUCGAGAAACUUUUAGAAGUGCCUAUCAAGCUUUUGUUUCUGAAGGUGUUGAGGAAAAGGUGGUGGUGGUAGGUUUGCCUUGGCUUCAUUCUCUUAAAUUUGCUUAUUAGUUGUCUCAAUCACAGUUUCAUUCUUAACAAGCUUAUCUUGAAGUCUAGCUUUCCUAACACUACUUUCAACCUUUUUUCCAUUCCUCAAGGUGUUUGCCAUAGCUUGUUUCUUACCUUCUUUCCUAGGUUUAACCUCUGUAUCACUAGGUAAGUUCCCUUGAGCUCUAUUAUUUAAUGAGUUGGCAAGUUGACCAACCUGAGUCUCAAGAUUUCGAAUUGAUGCUGCCUAACUUUGAAUGAGAGCCACUUGAGUCUGAAUGAUGUUAUCAUUCUGUGUCAUGUAUUGCCUCAACAAAUCCUCUAAAGUUGACAUUUCAUCUAGGAUAAGCGCUUUUGCUUAUUGUUAGAAUCCAAGAGGUGCAUUUGACCUUAAAGAUAAAGAUGAUCCUUAAUUAUUGGCCCAAGAGAAGUUUGGAUGGUUCCUCCACCCUAGGUUGUAAAUGUUGGAGUAGGGGUUAUUCUAUUGUCUAUUCCCCACAAAUUACACUAAUUUUGUCAUACUUGGACACUGAUGACUUGCAUGAUCAUCUCCACAAUACUCACAAGCUACAAAGGGACUUUGAAUGGAGUUUGUACCAAAAGAUUCAAGUGUCUUAGUUAGAAUUACUACAUGUGCGGAUAGUGCCGAAAUGGCAUUUACAUCAUGAAUUCUAGCUAUUCUCUUAUAUAUUGAUCUCUUUGCUGGUCACUGGUAGCUGUUUGCAGCCAUCUCCUCUAACAAAUCAUAUGCCUCAUCAAUUGAUUUAGCCAUUAAAGCUCUUCUCGUAUCGGCAUCAAUAGUGGUUCAAACUUGACCACUCAAACCAUUAUUAAAUGUUUACACUCAAACCCAAUUUUUGGGCCAUGACCGGCGCAUGGGCCCAAUGGACGUAGCCCACUAAGCCCAAGCAAGCUUAUUUAUAUAAUCGUACUCAUUAUCCCGUUAACUAUUCUUACAUUUACAUCUCAUAAUCACAACCUUUUAAGUACUUUAACGGUAAAUUAUAACAAUCAAAACUGCAUUUAUAUUUUCCCAAAAUAACAUUAACUAUUGCCACUCAUGGUAGAUUUACCAAUCAUAAGGUACAUAUGUCACAGCCCAAUUUUUCGGCCAUGACCGGCACAAGGGCCCAAUGGGCUCAGCCCACUAAUGUCACGACCCAAUUUCUCGGGCCAUGAUCGGCGCAUGAGCUCAAUGAGCAUAGCUCACUAAGCCCAAGCAAGCCUAUCCAUUUACCUUUGCUUAACAAAUUUAUCAUAUCAUGCAUACACACACACCUUUUUCCGAGUGUGAACAUAGCCAAAACAUAAUGGCAUUAUCGAUAAUAAUAUACAUGCACUAUACCAGUCAUGUAUUUAGCAAUUUACAUUGCAUACACAUAUUCACAUUGUUAGAUUGUAUUCAUAAUACAAAAAGACCCAUGACUUCCAGCGGAGACAUUUACAAUAAAAGGGAUUACUAUCGAAUGUCAGACACAUACCCAGGAGAUGCACUAUGGGGACUCCUCGAUCUGGGGUCCAACAGUCACCUGAUCUGAAAACAUGAAUUUUUUUAUAAAACGUGAGUACAAUACUCAGUGAGUGAAUAAGAUGGGAACAAGCAUACCAUAAGGAAUGUUUAUCAAAAUCAUGAUGCAUUCAUUUUCUCAACACCAUGCAAUUGUUUUAGCUCCUUUAAACCCCUCAUGUAAACCCCACAUGAGUAAAUCACUUUACAAAAAUCCAUGCUCAACUAUGGUACCAAAGAAAUGAGAUAUAUGGCAAAAACCCACAAGUUAGCAAAAUGGAUAGAAAGUUUCUCGUUGUAGCGAACUUCAUUCUUGCUGCAGCAAGAACCAGAACAUCAAGGAAAAAGUCUCAUUUUUCCCUUAAAACAAGUCAUCCUGCUAAAAUAACAAUAGCAACAUGUAACACAUGUAAACUUUCAAAUUCCAACAAAACAAAUGCUUACAUAUUUGCAUUUACAACCAUAUACCCAUCAUCAACAUGCACACCAUCCCAUCAUCAUCAUCAUGCACACCAUCCCAUCAUCAUCAUCUCAUAUGCAACGGCUUAUGCGUACUCCUACUCGCAUAUAGCCGGGUCAGCAACGGCUUAUGUGCUCUCCCACUCGCACAUAGCCAGGUCAGCAACGGCUUAUGUGCACUCCUACUCACACAUAGCCGGGUCAGCAACGGCUUAUGUGUACUUCCACUCACACAUAGCCGGGUCAGCAAUGACUUAUGUGCACUCUUACUCGCAUAUAGCCGGGUCAACAACGGCUUAUGUGCACUCCCACUCACACAUAGCCGGGUUAGCAACGGCUUAUGUGCACUCCUACUCGCACAUAGCCGGGUCAGUAACGGCUUAUGUGUACUCCCACUCACACAUAGCCGGGUCAACAACGGCUUAUGUGCACUCCUACUUGCACAUAGCCGAGUCGAAGUCAACAUGCAAAGAAGCAUCCAAUGCAUAUCAUGAAUUUUAUCAUAUUGUGAUAACACAUAAAUCAUUGUAUAACACAUUUUCACAAUAUAAAAUCAUUUUACUAAAAGCUUGUUCCCAAGAUACAUUUUCUAAGACAAGUUAGAUAGAAUCUUUCAUAUUCCCCAAAACAAGUUUGAAAUGCAAGUCCACUCACCUGUAUUAGGAGUAGAAAUACUCCUAUUUUCAAUUCGCGGGUACAGUCCUUUACCCGUAUCCAAUGGCUCACCACCUAGCCAUAAUCCAUGACACAUAAUCCAAUUAAAUUGUUUCUAACAGUCAGAGGCUAUUUCAGGCUCGAUAUAUAUAUGAUAUGAAAUGAAAAAUGCACGGGUAGCCAUCUAGACUCGGUACUGGCCUAAGUCGAUUUUUCAUCUGAUAAAUUGGCCAAUGCAUCCAAUUUCACUCCAAAUUAAUCCAUUUCUCCUCUAAUACCUUAAAUUGGCCAAUGCAUCCAAUUUCACUCCAAAUUAAUCCAUUUCUCCUCUAAUACCUUAAUUUAAAUAAAGCUAAAUUCAGCAUUAGAACCCUUACAGUUCCUUAUAGAAAAAUUCGGUCAUUUGGUGCACUAGCACCGAAAAUUUUUCUACAUAACCGUUUUACCUUAAUUCAUCAUUUUCCAAGCCAUUUUCCUUGAAAUAAAAACAAUCCCCCAUUGAUAUUCAGCCCUCAUGGUUUGACCAACAAGGAACCCUAGAGAAAUUGAAUAUUUCUUUUGUGUUUUUGCUCAUAACCAUGCUUAACUAUCCCUAAACACUAACAUAGUCUAAAAUCAAAUUAUUCCAACAACAAUUCCUCUUCCAUACCCAUUUUUCAGAAUUGAAUUCAUCAUGAUAACUCAAUAUUCAACCAUGGAAAUCAAGAACAAAAGCAUGGGUAAGCUAGGUAUCAAGGAGAAUUAAAGAAAUUUGAACUUACCUAGCUUGUUUCCUUGAAUUCCAACACUUUCUCUUUGAUUUUUCCCACCUAGGGCUUGUUCUUCCUUGGUUUCUCUUCUCUUCUGGUUUGGCUGAUCACUAUGGGAGAAAUGGGCUGAUUUUUAUGCCUUUUAUAAAGAAAAUAAUGAAUGGAUCAGAUUUUGACACAUGUCACCAUUCCAUUGGUCCAUGUGUCAUACUUAGCCAUUAAGCAAUCUCUCUCCACCACACAUUUCUCAUGUUUAUCCAUUUACAGGAUGAAUAAAAUCCCUUGACCUUGACAAGUGCUGGGGCAAAAAAUUUACCGAUUUGCCCCCUGGGCGAAAAAAUUACGAUUUUUCCUCUAUACUCCAAAAUGUACCGGAAUUAAAUUGUUUCUACUUUUCAACCUCAAAUAAUACUAGCAUUGAUCAAUAUUAACCAAAUGGGGCAAAAAAACUCAUUUUAUAAAAAUUUUCGUUUAGUCCUCUAGUGGCAAAAUUACCAUUUUACCCUUAUGCUCCAAAAAUACUAGGAAUCAUAAUAUUUUCACUACUAAACAUCAUUUUAUACUCCAUUAAUCAUAAUUAUAUUUCAUAUAAUUACUUUUGGUCAAAUGUGAUCAAAUCUUGGCUAAAAAUCUCCAUUUUAUCAUCAAAUGGUAAAAUAAUCGUUUUGUCCCUAAUCGGUCAAUUUUCCUGAUGGACUCCAAACUGGACCUUGAACUCCGAAUCACUAUUCUAAGCCAUUCUGUGGGUUUCAAAAUUUUCAAUUUCCUCUUAGAAUUUCUAUUUGAAUUAGUUCAAUACUCGAUUUAACUUAGUUGUGCCACUCGGUAUAAUACCGUCUUUUAAUCGAACUUGACAGGGUCUCACAACUAAGCCCAAGCAAGCCUACUAAAUUGAUCUUAUACAUUAAUCCCUAUUCAUUUAGAAUCCAAAAUUCGAAAUAUUCAAAUACUGUUCCAAUGAAAACAAUUCAUAAAAAUCAAUCAUACAUUCAUAAUGGCAUCAUCCACCUAUAUAUUUAUAGAUAGAGUAACAAAUGAUUCUUAAUAUUUCACACCAAGUAUUCAUAUACACAUGAUUAGACCUUGACUGUCAGCGAAGUGACUCUGGAUGGGAGAUAUGGCUACUGAAUGACAAAGUACCUGCCUAAAAGAUGGGAGUACGCAGACACCUCAAUCUACGUCCUAACCACCCCUGAAUCUGAAAACAUGAAAUUUAAAACGUGAGUAUAAACUCAGUGAGUGAACAUAGGAAGGGAAUAAGCAAUUACAAGGAAUGAUUUAGAAAUCAUGAUGCACUUAAGUUCGAAAAUAGUGCAACCUAGUUCAAGUUCUUAUUAAAAUCCUUCCAUCAACCCCAGGUUAUUAAAUCAUUUCAUAAUGAAGGAACCAUAUUUAGCGGGAAAUUGGAAAGAGAGGAAAUUUCCAGCAAUCAUCCAAGCAAGGCAGUAUAAACAGAAUGUUCUUGUUGCAAUAAAAUCAAUUCACAUGCAAAUGGUAAAUUUUUAAGAUUUAUCAUGCAAUAUAAACACAUAUUAUAAUCAUAAUCUUUCUAUUGCAUAUACAUAUGCUUAAGCAUAUAUCAAUUAAUAUAGCACCACACCUCAUUCAGCUCAUGUACAUCAUCACCGACAUGUGCACUGCCCACUCCGCACAUGCAUGGUUAUAAUUAUCAAGACAACAUCAUUAUCGGCAUGUGCACUGCCCAUUUCGCACAUGCACGGUUGUAACUAUCACGACAUCAUCAUUACCGGCAUGUGCACUGCCCACUCUGCACAUGCACGGUUAUAACUAUCACGACAUCAUCAUUACCGGCAUGUGCACUGCCCACUUUGCACAUGCACGGUUGUAACUAUCACGACAGCAUCAUUACCGGCAUGUGCACUACCCACUCCGCACAUGUACAGUGUUAUUUAUCACACAAUGGUACCAUUUAUGACAUAGUAUAUAUAUAUAUAUAUAUAUUAUUAUACAGAAACAUAUGAAUUUAUUACACUAUCUAUUUCAUAACAUAAAAACAUUUCAUAAGGGCUUGUUCCCGUGCAAGUUUUUGAAGAAAAAUCAAUAAAAUGUUUUAGAGGAUUCAAUCAAACAUAAACGUGUAUAUCCCAAGACCUUUUAAUGCAAGUUCACUCACUUAGCAACAAUGAGAUUUUAAGUCGCUAUUUGUUCGGAGGUGUUUCUAACUAUUUUCACUGGCUGGUCGCUCGUUAUUUACUUCGGCAUGCCACCACAGUUCUCUAACUUUAUCUUUGCACUUUCUAGCAAUAAUACGAACUCAAUAUAUUUAAUUACAUACGUAUAUGGGCAGCACUUCAAUCAAUUAAUCCUUACUCAAAUUUAUAUUUUCAUCCUAUCGUGAAACCAUCUUCAAUUAACUCACAUCUUAAUACAUUUUUACCAAAAUUACUUACAUCCAUUGCUUACGAAAUUCCUUAGAUUAUAUCAUCGACAACUUAUUUAUGAUGUCACGUGCGUACUUCAACCUUUCUAAAUAAUUUUCACCCAAAUCCAUCUUAUAUUUUUACACAUAAUCCACAUAUAUGGCAGCAACAAUUAUUCUUACUUUCACUCGAUUAUUUCCUAGUUUACAUGCAUUGUUAUCUAUCUAACUUUCAAUACUUUGUUUCUCAAUCGUCCAUCCACAAUAUUCCUUUUUGAUUUCUUUCAAACAACAUGCCAUACAGUCUUAACAAUUUUCAAAUAUCUUAUGCAAAUAGAUCCUUUCAACAACCAUAAUUCCAUCACAAUAUUCAACUAACUGUAUGUUUUAAAACAUAGUGUUAAGCUUACCGUUUUCCUUUUCCAUUUUGAGUCCUUCAUUUACCCAUGGGUUUAUUGGCUUACAUGUUACCAAUUUUUCUCCAAUCAAGCCAAUCUUUGCUGCCACAAGACAUUUCUCCAAGUCACUAACUCAUUUUCAAAGACCACUCUAGCCAAAAAUAAGAAUUCUUACUGUUCUUUGCUUGAAUCACCAAAACCAAGCUUUUUCUUCCUUUCUCUCUUUUUCUUUCUUCUCCUCCUAGGGUUUAGAUGUGUUGGAAAUUGGGGUUAAAGGUUGUAGAUUUAGUGCUCAAGAAGUUUGGAGAAGAAAGGAAAAGAAAACAUGGAAAGGAAACUGAAGAAAACUUGAUUUCAUGGUGGAUAAAGAGAAAAUGGCAUGGAAGCUUCAAGAAUGGUGUGGAGCAUGGAGGAGAAGAGGAAAAAAUAUUGCUAGAGGAGAUAAGAACGGUUUUGGGCUGAAAAAUAUCAGAGUCAAAGCUUCCUUUGGAAGCUUUGACCAAACUUCACAUAAAAUUACCAUUUUGCCCUUUUUGAUUCUUUCCAUUUUAAUUUAGUCCUCCCAACACUCAUUUAACUCCAACUUCCUUCUAUUACCUUCUUCUACACAUGUACAAACAAAGUAUGAAGUUUGUACUCCAACGCGGUGUCUCCAUAAUAUUUAAAAUAUUUAUUUGCCCGCGUUAUCUUUACUUAAUAAAGACACGCGGCCCCAUGAACAUCAUUUUUCUCCAAAAUUCUCUCAUUCUUCUUCUCCCUCACUUAGUUUGACCAUAUUCUCCUUCUUCAUGUUAAAUUUUGACAUUGAAUAAAAUAUUAAUAUUUUAAUAUUAUUUUAUUAAAAAAAAUUAUUUUAUUCCAAAAAUUUCUUCUUUUCUCCUCUUGUCCCCUUGGUACCCAAAAUACCUUAUUAUGCCUUAAUUUACUUCCAAAUCACUUUUUAUCUCACAAAUUCUUCUUCGAUAAAAAAUCAUUAUUUUAUUAUUAUUUUCUCGUGUGUGGAAUAUUUUAUCCCAAAAUAUUCCUUUCAUCUUUAAUAAUUUUUAACCAUUAUAAUUAACCUCAAUUGGCAUCCAAUAAGCUUUAUUAGUUACCAUAUCAAAGUACGGAGUAUUAUAGUCUCCCCCACUUAAAUAGAAUUCGUCCUCGAAUUCAUGUCGAUGUCAAGUUAUCAAUCUCAUUCCAUGAUCUUAUUCCAUUUCUCCUUUUAUAGGGAAUUUUGAUCUAUUCACCUCAUUUACCUCCAGUUCAACUUGAAUACUUCACUUAUGUCUAUUGUUAUCCUUUAAAAUUAGAUCAGCAGUACUCAUCACAAUCAUAAUCUCUUAUAUUGAGACUCCAAGCAUGCCUCUAUCACUAUCAUUAAAUUUGAACCAUACUCCAUCUCAAUCAUACCUAUUUUGAUCACAUAUUAGACUUACUUAUGUAUACCUAAUCACCAUCUUAUUAUUUUGCUCUUUGCAAAACUUCUCGACAAUGAUUCAUUCAUUUUAUCCCCAUACACUAUUAUGCAGUCUACAACAUUAUAAACAUGCCAUAUUUAUAUCUGUACAUAGUCUCAAUGUUGAGAAAGGUUAAUGCCUUCAAUUAUUCCUGCAUACUUCAGGUUUAUCUUGCAUUUAUGCCACAUACUUCAAUUAUUCCCACGCUAUGGAUUGCAUUUCUUUAAUCUCAUUUCUCUAACUAUUUUUCCCAAAAUUUCUUAUAUCAUCAUAAUUCAACUUCUAAUGGGACUUCUUACUAUUGUACCAUCCAUACAACUCAUCAAAUACAUAAAGUUCAAAUCUCAAAUUACUGAGAACAAUUCUUCACCUCAGUUGGUUAAGUCAUCAAUUUCACAUAUACAUAUGUACAUGCAUUCAAAAUGUCAACAUUCCUCAUUACACAUAGGGAUCCAUGUGUUCGCGUGCCUUGGACUACAUUUCCCUUUAUUCAUCCCCAUUGCUAUCCAAGAUUCAAUAUAAUAAUCCUCAUAGUGCAUGUAAACAUUCUUGUUAUGCCUAUGCAUAACUUCAUAUCGUUUAUAUGCUUAUACUCUCUUUUUAUCAUUUCCAAUUAUAUACUUUAGUUUCAUUGUACUAUAUAUCCUUGCACCAUAAUAUCAUUAGUCACAUUUCAAUUACUAAAUAUCAUUUUCAUUAUCUUGCAAUCCAGUAUGCGUAUAUGCUUUAUAACCUCAUUGAUCCUUUAAAAAUUCAUUUUUACUUGAUCAUUUCAUCUUAUGCAACACCACAAUCCCUUCAAGUCAUCCCUGUUUCUCGAUUAUCUUUCAUGCCUCUAACAUGUAUAUUAUUAUCCUUUUUGCAAUUCGUGACUAAUCAGUCACUUAGGACUUGACUUAUUCGAAUCAUGCAUAGCUUAUGCGUUUCCGUAUUCCAAUUCCCAUAAUACAUUAGGAGGUUUUCAUUAUCCGACUUCACUAUCGAGAUUGCCUUCAACCAUUCUUUAUGUUAUUCUCUUAUACUGAUAUAAAAUCAUUCUCCCUUAGUCAAUUCACAAUUUGUACUUGGAAUUGCAAGACUAGAAACAAGGUUCUUCUCAAGCACCUUUCAAAGUGACUGUGAGUACCACUCUCAGCUUACGACUUCCUUUUUGUAACCACAUAACUCAAUGCUUGCUUUCACAAGAUCCAUAGCAGAACUCCUCUUGAGUAUUUUCUUAGAGAUACCUAUCUUAAACUUAUGUCUUACCGCAUAUGACCACUUAACCCGUGACUUAUCGAUUAGGCUCCUCAGCAAGUUUCAAAAAUCCCACAUUUUAUACUUGCCGUGUAUGAUUAGUAAUUCCUUCUUAAAGAUGUUUGUGCAUUCUUGAAACACUUAGUCUCUUAUUUGCUCCUUAACAUCUCGAGCAUAUCGUUCUAUAGACAUGCACUUAUUCUUAAAGGUAUAUAAAUACGUACUCAUCCAUUCAAUCCCCAACUCAUUCUCAUAGGUUUCUAGGGUGCCACACAAUUGGCCUUGUGUUGUUACUAACCCUUUUCAUUUAGCUGAGUCAAGACAAGAAAUGUAAAUUCUCAUAAUGAUAUUCUAUAUAAACUCAUUUUCUAUACCACCCUUGUAAUCCUUCAUUCACACUUUCAUCACUUGGUAUUGACAUCCCUUACCCAUCUCUCAUAUAUUCAUCUAACUCUUCACUCACGUUUUCCUUAGCCUUGAACAAGACUUAAUCUCUCAUCUCUUUUAUUUCUUAAGAUUUGACUUUGGGUCAACAUAUUAUUCAUCCUAAUACUUUACAUGGUAUCUUAUCUCAAUGUAAUCAUCUCAAGAAUCUUUCAACUUUUCUUUUAAUUAUAUGCCCAUAUAGAAGACAAUAAAGAAACUUUUUAAUUCAUUCAUGUAAACAUUCUCCGGAACAUUUAAAACUCCCAAAUAACAAAGGUCAAUGACCGAUGACCAUAUUUUGGCUUGUAAGCUCAUUAUCAUGCAACUCCCAUCUUGCUCAUGCAUCUUAGACAUGAGGUGUCCCUAGCACUGCGACGCUGGACAGUUAGUGUCAUAGCGUUGUGGUUGCUAGACAUGGGAUAGUUUCAACACUGCAGUGCUAAAGAGUUAUUGCUGUGGCGCUAUGGCUGCUGGAAGUUUCUUCCACAAAUAAGUUCUUCCAUCUUUAAAGUUACUACAGGGAUCAUGCUUAACCAUUUGGCUUUACUCCAGGCCUAUCCCACAAUUUUCAUGACCAUGUGCAUCUUCUCUUUUGCUUAUCAUAUUCACUAAGUCGAGUCAAAAGUUUCAAACUCAAUUUAUUCUUUAACACUUAUCUUCAACCAAUAAGUCCCACCUUAGGACAGUCUUGCCAUAUUGUGCAGCAAGUUCUCAAUAUAUAAUACCACACACAAAAUUAUUCACCAUUUAUGACAUUCCACGAUUCCUUAACAUUCACAAUUAAUUGUCUUUCUUGUCAUGUAACUCAAAUAGUUUCGUUGACUUUCAGUACAAAUGAUCAUGAAAAUAGUUCAUCUUUCUCCACGCUCUACAUUCACAAUCUUCAUUAAAUCAAGGAUUCACCUUUUCCCAAAUUUCAUAAUUUAACUCCAUUGGCUAUAUUUGUGCCCAACUAUUACCUCAUAAUGUCAUGGCAUCAUUUGUAAUUCCCUCCAUACUUAAAUUUUACAAUCCUUGACUUAAUCACAUAAUCCUUUCUAAGCGUCACCUAUAUCCUCAUUGAUUUCUCCCAUAUCCUUCCAAAUUGUAAUUGCAACUAGGAUUUCAAAUUUCACCUUUCCACGAUUAAUUGGUAAUCCUUUGUCAGGUCUCGUAGUUGUUUGUACCAUUAAUGACUUUCUACGUCGAUCCUUAAUAAUUAUCCAAGGCGACCAAUGACGCCACUAAGGUGAAUAUCCUCCCUCAAUCAUUAUAUCGCUAAUCUAUCUCUAUCGUAUCAAAGGACUCCAAUUCGCAACAAGUCAUUAAAACAACUACUUCAUAAUCCAUUUAAGUCACAAAAUAAAAGCCAACUCUUAACUCCUUUGUACAGAUAAGUACUACUAUUUCCUUUACACCACAUCUAUCUAGCCUUAAAGUGAUACGAACUUUAAUGAAAAUAUUAUGUGUCUUUAGGAUCCUCUUCGCCUUGAUCUAGGCACAUUGACGGAUCCUCUUCCGGGUCCUUUCCCAUCUCUUGGGAUUUUUCCAUUUUAUCUUUAAUCCAAGCUUGUUGCUACCUCUCAAAUUCCUCCUUACUAAUAGGAACAGCACCUCUCCCACAACUAGGAGGGAAGUGUCGAACAACAGAUACAGACACCUUCCUAGGACGAUAAUUACUGAUCGUCCUUUUUCCCAUCUUGUUUGUGUUCUUUUUCGUCAGAUUGAUUUCAUUAUGCACCAAUCUUGCGAGACUCCUCAAGCUCUUAAAUAAUGGUUUACCUCUUGGGGAAACCGAUCCACUCAGAAAUCAGGUCGGGUUACUUGUUACGCUUUCACCUGCUGGCACAUAUCGGCUCCGAGCAGUGAAAUCUAGCGAUCCUUCGCUAGUAUUAUAAAGGGUGUCGGGACUACCAUCUUUUCUAGACAUGGCGUGUGCAACCGACGCACCUCCACCUAUACGUAACAAAGUAUUAAUUACUCAUCCAUCUAGACAUCAUAAGAACAGGUAGGUUUCUAAUGAAGUAAGGGCCCAUUUAGCCUCCAAUCCUUGACUUGCGUUGCUCACCCACAAUCCAAGAACAAGACUCUACACGAACUCCAACAACUCUACUGACCACAAAGGAAUCCCUAGGAUUCAAAUAAACCUAGGGCUCUGAUACCACGUUUGUCACAGCCUAAUUUUCAGGCCAUGACCUGCGCAAUGGCCCAAUUGGCUUAGCCCAUUAAGCCCAAGCAAGCCUACUAAAUUGAUCUUAUACAUUAAUCCUUAUUCAUUUAGAAUCCAAAAUUCAAAAUAUUCAAAUACCGUUCCUUUGAAAACAAUUCAUAAAACUCAAUCAUACAUUCAUAAUGGCAUCAUCCACCUAUAUAUUUAUAGAUAGAGUGACAAAUGAUUCUUAAUAUUUCACACCAAGUAUUCAUAUACACAUGGUUAGACCUUAACCGUCAGCAGAGUGACUUUGAAUGGGAGAUAUGACUACUGAAUGUGAAAGUACCUACCCAAAAGAUAGGAGUACGUGGACACCUCAAUCUACGUCUCAACCACCCCUGAAUUCGAAAACAUGAAGUUGAAAACGUGAGUAUAAACUCAGUGAGUGAACAUAGGAAGGGAACAAGCAAUUACAAGGAAUGAUUUAGAAAUCAUGAUGCACUUAAGUUCGAAAACAGUGCAACCUAGUUCAAGUUCUUAUUAAAAUCUUUCCAUCAACCCCAGGCUAUUAAAUCAUUUCAUAAUGAAGGAACCAUAUUUAGCAAGAAAUCAGAAAAAGAUGAAAUUUCCAGCAAUCAUCCAAGCAAGGCAGUAUAAACAGAAUGUUCUUGUUGCAAUAAAAUCAAUUCACAUGUAAAUAGGAAAUUUUCAAGAUUUAUCAUGCCAUAUAAUCACAUAUCAUAAUCAUAAUCUUUCUUUGCAUAUACAUAUGCUUAAGCAUAUAUCAAUUAAUAUACCACCACACCUCAUCCAGCUCAUGUACAUCAUCACCUGCAUGUGCACUACCUACUCCGCACAUGUACAGUUGUAAUUAUCACGAUAGCAUCAUUAUCGGCAUGUGCACUGCUCACUCCGCACAUGCACGAUUGUAAUUAUCACAAUAGCAUCAUUACCGGCAUGUGCACAGCCCACUCCGUACAUGCACGGUUGCAUUUGUCACACAAUGGUACCAUUUAUGACAUAGUAUAUAUAUAUAUAUAUCAUUAUACAGAAGCAUAUGAAUUCAUCACACUGUCCAUUUCAUAACAUAAAAACAUUUCAAAAGGGCUUGUUCCCGUGUAAGUUUUUGAAGAAAAACCAAUAAAACGUUUUAGAGGAUUCAAUCAAACAUAAACGUUUAUAUCCCAAGACAUUUUAACGCAAGUUCACUCACCUGGCAAUAAUGAGAUUUUAAGUCGCUAUUUGUUCGGAGGUGUCUCUAACUAUUUUCACUAGUCUGUCACUCGUUAUUUACUCCGGCAUGCCACCAUAGUCCUCAACUUUAUCUUUGCACUUCCUAGCAAUGAUACGAACUCAAUAUAUUUAAUUACAUACAUAUACGGGUAGCACUUCAAUCAAUUAAUCCUUACUCAAAUUUAUAUUUUCAUCCUAUCAUGAAACCAUCUUCAAUUAACUCACAUCUUAAUACAUUUUUACCAAAAUUGCUUACAUUCAUUGCUUACGAAAUUCCUUAGAUUAUAACACCGGCAACUUAUUUAUGAUGUCAAAUGCCUACUUCAACCUUUCUAAAUAAUUUUCGCCCAAAUCCAUCUUAUAUUUCAACACAUAAUCCACAUUUAUGGCAGCUACAAUUAUUCUCAGUUUCACUCGAUUAUUUCCUAGUUUACACGCAUCGUUACCUAUCUAACUUUCAAUACUUUGUUUCUUAAUCCUCCAUCCACAAUAUUCCUUUUUUAUUUCUUUCAAACAACAUGCCAUACAAUCUUAACAAUUUUCAACUAGCUUAGGCAAAUAAAUCCUUUCAACAACCAUAAUUCUUCAUAAUAUUCAACUAAUCGUAGGUUUUAAAACAUAAUGUUAAGCUUACCAUUUUCCUUUUCCACUUUGAGUCCUUCAUAUACCCAUGGGUUUAUUGGCUUACAUGUUACCAGUUUUUCUCCAAUCAAGCCAAUCUUUGCUACCACAAGACAUUUCUCUAAGUCACUAACUCAUUUUCAAAGACUACUCAAGCCAAAAACAAGAAUUCUUACCGAUCCUUGCUUGAAUCACCAAAACCAAGCUUUUUCUUCCUUUCUCUUUUUUUUUUCUUCUCCUCCUAGGGUUUUGGUGUGUUGGAAAUUAGGGUUAAAGGCUGUAAAUUUAAUGCUCAAGAAGUUUGGAGAAGAAAGGAAAAGAAAACAUGGAAAGGAAAGUGAAAAAAACUUGAUUUUAUGGUGGAUAAAGAGAAAAUGGCAUGGAAGCUUCAAGAAUGGCGUGGAGCAUGAAUGAAGAAGAAGAAAACUCUGUUGGGGGAAUGGAUAACGUUGGUCAUGGCCUAAAAAAAUAAGAGUAAAAGCUUUUUUUGGAAGCUUUGACCAAACUUCACAUAAAAUUACCGUUUUUCCCUUUUUUGUUUCCUUCCAUUUUAAUUUAGUCCUCCCAACACUUAUUUAACUCCAAUUUCCUUCUAUUACCUUCUCCUACACAUGCACAAACAAAGUAUGAAGUUUGUACUCCGCGGUGCCCUAUAAUAUUUAAAAUAUUUAUUUGCCCGCGCUAUCUUUACUUAAUAAAGACAUGCGGCCCCAUUAACGUCAUUUUUCUCCAAAAAUCCUCUCAUUCUUCUUCUCCCCCACUUAGAUUGACGAUAUACUCCUUCUUCAUGGAAAAUUUUGAAACUAAAUAAAAUAAUAAUAUUUUAAUAUUAUUUUAUUCUAAAAAUUUCUUCUUGUCUCCUCUUGUCACCUUGGUACCCAAAUACCUUAUUAUGGCUCAAUUGACUUCCGAAUCACUUUUUAUCUUGCAAAUUCUUCUUCGAUAAAAAUAUUAUUAUUUUAUUAUUAUUUCCUCGUGUGCGAAAUAUUUUAUCCCAAACUAUUCCUUUCGUCUUUCAUCAUUUAUAAACAUUAUAAUUAACCUCAAUUAGCAUCCAAUAAGCUUUAUUAGUCACCAUAUCAAAGUACUGGAUAUUACACUAAAGGGGAGCACACACUUAGGGGGAGAAAUCCCCAUAUUGUGCAGAAUUGAAAAAGAAUAAAAAGACACUAUGCUGUUAAUCAAGGAAUGUUUUGUCAUCAUCAAAAAGGGGGAGAUUGUUGGCUCCAUUAGUUUUUGAUGAUAAUAAAACAUUCUCAUUCAUUUGUGUCUAAUAUUUUUACUUGAGUGUGUACGACAAGAAUUAUAUGCUAAUGAUAAAUAAAUUAUGCCAUGGGGCAUAUCAAAAAGGUAUAUGAAUAAGAAGCCACGACUAAUUAACAAAACAGAAGCUCCUUAGUUGAAUAAUGAAGGAUUACUCAGCUAAAAUUCAAAUCAGAAGUUGGUGGGCUCAAGAGUAUUGAGAAACAGAAAAGACUUAAUCGACCAAUAAGCGGGUUAGUUGACUAAGAAGCUACUACUAGAAAUCUAGACUUUAAGACAGAACUGACUUAGUCGACCAAGAAGUAAGUUAGUCGACUAAGCGCUCACUGCCAGAAACUGGAAACAAAAAACAAAGACAUCUUAGUCGACAAAAACAUAAGUUAGUUGACUAAGAGUGUUCUGCUAGAAAAUUUGAAUUGUGCACUAGAAGAUAGAUUAACAGCCAGAAUUGCAACAAAACUGUUUCCAAUAGUCAAAAACUGUCUAACUCAGUUCAGAGCUGAUUUUCCAAGUAUAAAAGGAACUUCCAACGGCUAUAAAUGCAAUUAAGGCUUCCAAGAACAAGAGAGAGCUCAAAAACCAAAAAAUACUUCCUGCUUAUUUACUACAUUUAACUUUUAUCUUUGUAAUUGUGGUCUGCACUUCUCUUUGUACCACUUAGAUCAACCUUNUAUCAUCAUCAUGGGUGCACUCCCUACUCGCACACUUCAACAUCAUCACACAACAUUAUUCAUCAAUACAAAACAUAUAUUCAUACAUAUACCUACCAACAUAAUAUAGACGCACAUGGAUUCAUCCUUUUACACAUUUCACAUUUUUCACAGCAUCAAAACAUUUUGUCAAGGGCUUGUUCCCUAGCACACAUUUUCAAAGAAAAGUUGGAUAAAAUCAUUCAAAUGUUCAUUCAAAUACAUUACAUUUCCCAAAGAAAUUUUGAAAUGCAAGUUCACUCACCAGUCUUUAUUGAUGUUUUGGUGGGCUCUAGCUUCGACUACUGUUUUGAAAGGAGGUGUAGGGUUUUGUUGGAACCUAUCACACACAACAACAUCACCAUCAACCCAACUUGGCAUUAUUUCUAUUCCAAAGCUAUUUUCUAAAUUGGGUUCUAUUAGUCAUUCCUAACUAGUUUCCAACUUCUAUUAAAUGGCUAUUAUUUGCACCAUCCUUAUCACUUUAAAAUGAAUAAACAACCUUAACUACAAAACAUUCCCAAGUCUCAUCACUAGUGAUUCUCAACACUUAAAUAUCAAAUUCUAAUUCCAUACUCACCUUGGUAGCUUCAUAGUUGAAUCUCUUUCCAAAAAUUUCAAGCUAUUAUGGAAGCUCCCUCUUUUUCUCUCUAAACACUUAGCUAGUGAGAGAAAGUAUGGAAGUAAGAUUUUUUUUUCAAGGGUUUUAAAGUGAGAGAGUGAAAGAGCACAAAGGUUCUAUGAAAGAGUGCACAAAAGCAUGAAAAGUGGAGCUAGCUUGAGAGAGUUAUGAAAGCUUAAAGAGAACUCCCAUGGAAGAUGAUGAAACGCGAGAGGGAAAAAGGAAGAAGAAGAAGAAGCUGCUGGAAAAUGUGAGAAAAAGCUACUGGAAGAUGAUAUUUAUAGCUCAAGCUUAUCUAACUCCACUUAAAUUACGAAAAUGCCCUUAGCAAGUUAGCUUAUUCUUCUUCAAUCCUUUGUGCAAUCUUUUUUACUCUUUUUACACUAAGGCCAAGUCCACAAUGGUCUAAAAAUACUCGAGUUUACGAAAAAUAAAAAUUUUGACCCGAGAUGAAAAAUGACCAUUUUGCCCCUACUUUGGAAAUCAUCAUUAUUUUUAUUUCCUUUGUCAUUUAAUCCUUAUUUUCAUCAAUCAUUUAUGCUUUAGGCCUACUUAGGCCUUAAAAAUGUUUGAAAGCAUACUUAUAGGGGCUCAUUAAAGAAAUGACAAAAUUAUCCCUUACUCGGGUUAUCGUGUCUACACUUAGUUAUGAGGCUACAGAGGUCAAGGUCUCACAGUCGGAGUAAUCUUUAUAUCUUUCUUGAGCCUCAUACAACAAUUCAAAAUCUUGCUACAUGAAUGAUGUGAUAUAAUUCCUCAUUUUCACUAUUUUGGCCAGAGAAAAGAAUGUAGCAAGGAACUUUUAAGCAAAAUCAUCCCAUGUUAUUGAUCUAGUAAAGAGUGCAUUCAACCAUGCUUUAGCUUUAUACCUCAAUAAAAAAGGAAAAAACCUCAAACGAAUUGCAUCUUCUGUGACACCAUUGUGUUUAAAGCUAUCACAUAUCUCCAAUAAGUUUGAAAUAUGGUCAUUUGGAUCUUCAUUUGGAAGGCCCCUAAACUAAAUUGAGGCUUGAAUCAUGGUGAUGAUAGUUGGCUUGAUCUUGAAAUUGUUUGGUUGAAGAAUUGGCUUUCGAAUGCUUCAUGGAAUUCCUUGUACCAAAAGAACAACAUAAUCCCUUAAGCAAUGAUUUUUGGCUAUUACACGCUCUUGGAUUUUCUGCUCACGCUGUUGUUUAGUCAUUGUAUUUAUUAGAGAAAAACCUUGUUGAUUUUUUUGUCAAAGUCUUCAAAAUGUUCUUUCAAUCUCUCGAUCAAAUGGUAUAAUCUCCGAGCUUUUUUCUUUUCUCAUACAACAAUGAAACUAACUUGAAAGACACAAAAGAAAACUUAAAUUAAGACUAAUCUGUUGAAUUUUAAUAUUAGCCAAUAGAUAGGAAAACAAAUCCCCAGCAUCGACGCUAAAAACUUGUUGUUAAGUUUGCACACGCAAGUAUACAUAUAGGACAAGUAAUAUACACCGUAAGUCCAAAAUCAUAUCCCACAAAGAUUUGGUCCUAAAUCUUUACUAAGUACUAAAAUUAUGACAAACUAAUCUUAUUCAAGUAACUAAAUUUUUUAGAAAAUUAAUUAAAACUAAACUAAUGCAAACACUAAAUUAAUUAACAGGACUUAAAAUUUACUUGAGAAAGGUAAUAGAUUAAAACCGAGGAUUAUGGGUUUACUCAACACUUCAUCUGGCACCAACUUCUCUUAUUAUUUACAUUCAUGGGUGGUUUUACUAACUUAGAAUCCAAAGCUAUUUAUAAGUCUCCGUCGAGAUGCUUGCACAAAUAUCUAACUUAAUUGGGUCACUAUAUGUCUAUAGUAAUCAAUUAAAUAACAUUCAUAAGCUGGUGUUCUAAUUUAGCUAUGUGUGCAAAUUGGCAUAAGUCUACCCGAAUCAUGAAUUGGAUCACCUAAGGGACAUGAACAUAAACUAUCCAAAUCUUAGUCCAAUCUAAAAUCUCUUUGUCAAGUCUCAAUUAGAUUCACAAAUCAGUUAAUUGUUGGCCAAACAAUCAAAAGCAUUAAGAGCAGAUUUGAAUAAUCAAAACUAUACCCAUUCAUAGUAAAUAAAAGAGAAAUAUAUAUUCAAAUUACAUGUUGAAAUCCACUACAAUUCUAGAAAAAUAAUUUAGCUCAUAAUAUCUACUAAAAACUUCAUCUAAAGAAAAUUAGCCAUUAAUCCAAGUCAAGAAAAUAAGAAAAACACAAAAGUAGAGAGAGAAAACUAAGAGUUAAAGCUUUGUGAUCUUCAUUCUCCCUUAAAUUCUCUUGUUUUCUUGCUUUGCUUUAGACUCUUUUUCCACAGAUAAAUUGCUUGUUGCCUCCCCUCCAAAUGUCUAAAAAGGUCCCUUAAAUAGGCUUCAAAUAACCUAAUUUCCAAAAUCCCAUCAAAUUUUUAUUUUUUAAAAAUUUCGUAGCGCCACAACCUUGGGUUCCUUGGCAUUGCGGUGCUGCCCUUUUUGCUACAGUAAAGUUGUAGCAUCGUGGCCUUCCUCUCCUUAGGGCCACAGUGCUCUAAUCUCGAGAAUUUUUAUGAUGCCUUUCAUUUCACCAACACUACAGCCUUCAGCAACUCAAGGUUUCAACUUUCACUCAAUGUGUUGCCUUGUACAAAACUGCAGUAGUCCAUCAUAUUCCAACAUGAUUUUCACCUUGAUUUAAUUCGAACUGGGAGAAGUGGUAAACAUGAAAGUUGUAUCCAUUUCUCUUAGCUUUCCAAUGGAUCAAGAAUCAUAUUAAUGGAACUUUUGUAGCUCAAUUUAUUCUAGAAAUACUACAACAUGUAUGAUUAUAGCCAUAACCAGGCUUGUGCAGUUUUUCAUCAAAUGAACAUUUUUCCUCAAAUAUCCUUCAAAAGCAAUGAAAGAAAUCAACAAUAACUAUUCUUAAAUUAACUUAAAUAAAAAAUAAAGUAAACUUAAACUAACAUAACUUAAAUUAAGUACUUAACAUGUAAUCUAAUUUGAACUAGAAAAACACUUAAAAUGCUAAAAUCAGAAUCUAAAAUCUCAAAGAUCUAGCUACUUAAGCCCCUAAAAUGUGUCAAAAUAACUCUAUAUAAUAAAGUUAUCAAGAUUCACACAACGUUCAAAGUUUUACUAUGACUUUUAAGGAGAUAAAGAAAAUAAUCUUAAAGCCACUUCUUUUCUUCAAAAAGCUUGAUAGAAUAAAAAUACUUCUUCCUCUGACAAGGAAGCUCUAGAAAAAUAUGCAUAUUCUCCAAAGUGAGGAUAAAUUGUCCCAAUGUUGUAAUUGUAAUAUGAGAAAAAAAUGUUCCGCCUUUCGAGAACAACACUCCAUACAUCCAUUCUUUUCUUUUUACGGAUGUUGAGCUUUAAGGUAACUUGUACAACAUUAAGCACUUCCAUCGUUGAGAGGAUUUUAACAUAAGUAGAAUUUUUCAAACCUUGUUUAUAAACUCAUCCCAACCAUUAACAAACUUGAGAAUUAGAGCUAAAUUUGUUAACGAAAAGUGGAAACUCACCUCAAUCAAACUUGAACUUCAAAAUUGACACCUUAAGAAUAUAAAAUAUUUUAUGAAGAGGUGUUUCAAAGUAUAAGUGAUCCCAAUCAUAUCCAAUGGGUUCAAACAGAUGUUCUUCAACUUGCUUGGCAUUGACAUGUUCUCAAUAUUGAUCUUUUCCUUUUUCUAUAAUAACUUCGUCUUUUUAAUUUUUAGAAAUAGGAGGAACUUCACUUGUAUUUCCUAUUUAGAUCCUUUUAGGAGGAAGAACUUUAAAAACAAUAUUCUUCCUUUUAUUUUCAAUAUUAUUUUUCCUUGUUACAAGACACCAUAUUUUGUUUGGAUCAAUUUAUGUUCGAAUUAGACUUUGUAUCUUUAUUUUAUUUAAUUCAUUUAUUUAUGUUUAUUUUAUUACAUAUUGGGUCAAGUUGGAUUUGAGUCCAAUUAAAUGAGGCUCUUUUGUAUUUGAAACCCAAAGACAAUUUAAGUUAGGGGUGAGCGUUCAGUUAAAUAGGUUAAUUUGGUUAAGAAAUACCAUUAACCAACUUAACUGACCAUAUUCAAAAAAUUAAUCGAACUAGCAGAUUUAAUGACUUUAACUAACUUUAGUUGAUUAAAUUGGUUUUGAUCGACUUAAACCAAAUUUUUUUAGCUUUUUUUGUUUUUCUAUUUAUUUAAUAAUAUAUUAAUAAUAUACUUUAUGUUACCGCAUACUCGAUUAUUACCUAUAUUUUUACUAAUAUACAAAUAUAGUAUAUUGUUAAUACAUAAUUUUGACUAAUUAGUAUAUUAAUAAGUAUACUAUAUAUUGUACUUGUUAUACUAUAUAUGGAUUAAUUAGUGUAUUAAUAAGUGUACUAUGUAUGUUGUAUUAAGAUAUAUAUAUUAGAUAAUGUAUAACUGUAAACAAUGUAUACUGUAUUAAUUUUUACUAUAUAUAAUUAAUAUAUAAUUAUAUAGUAUAUAUAACAUAUAGUGGAUAACUAUCAAGCCCAGCUCGACAAUAUGUUUAUUAUGCCAUUCCUACAUAAGAAUGCAUGUUUGCUUACUUGGAUACCUUGAAAAUUAUUAAAGGACAGUAUUGUACCAAAUGGUACAAUUAAGUUGAAUUAAGUCUCGAACUAGUCCAAAUAGAGAUUUUAAGAUGAAAUUGAGAAUUUUAAAACCCUAGAAUUACUUAAAAUGGUGAUUUAGAGUUCGAAGACCGAUUUGGAGUCAAAUUGGAAUUUUCAUGACCUAAGGGCAAAAUGGUCAUUUUGCCACCCGAGGUUAAAAUUGAAAUGUUGGAAGAAGUUUUUUAUCAAGAUUAACUAUUUAGAACAUAAUUUGAGUUUGAGAAGUGAAAAAUUUUAAUUUCGACAUUUUUCUUAGCAUAAGGGCAAAAUAGUCAUUUUGCCACCCUAGGGGAAAAAUUGUAAUUUUACACCACCCAACGCUUGUCCAGCACAUGAAUUUUACCCAAUAUUAUUUGGAUAAUUGAAGGAUUUUAUGUGGUGGAGAAAGAAAGCUUAAUAGUUAAGAAUUUAAAAAUGGACCAAUGGUAAGGUGACAAGUGUCAAACUUUUAUUUCUUUAUUAUUUUCCAUAUAAAUUUACACAAAACCAGCCCAUUUCUCAUUCUUAUGGCUGGCCAGCAAGAACAAAACCCUAGGUGGAAAAAGUCAAGGGAAAAGUGUGAAAAUUCAAGGAAACAAGUGAAAAAAAGGUGAGAUUUGUCAAUUAAGCUUGAGAUCUCUCUUUCUUAAGCAUUUUUUUCUUAUUUUCCAUGGUUGAAUCACAUGAUUUCAUGAUGAAUCCCAUGCUGGCCAAACACUUAGAGGGAGGUUUUGAUGCUUGAUUUGGUUAGAUUUCAAUGUAUUUUAGUGUUUUUAGUUAGUUAGUGAUGUGUAGUAUGAAAAGCCAAGAAGAAAAAUUCACUUCCUCCCAUUACCCAUCAUUGGCCGAAUUCUCCAUGUAGAAUAUUGAUGAUGAUUUUGAUUUUAUUUCAAGUGAUUUGGUUAGGAAUUAGUGAUUUAUGGUGUGAGAAUCAAGCUUGAAAAAUUAUAGUGUUGAUGCACCCUCCAUGGCCAAAUUUUCCAAGAGAAAAUGUAAGAAUGAUUUUGCCAUAUUUCAAGUUAUUUAAUUUGUGUUUGAUGGAAUUAUUUAGAGUUGAAUUGGACGUAUUGGCCAAUUAAUCGGGUGAUAGAUCGAAUUAGGCCAAUACCGUUUUAUUUAGGUACAUAAUUGAAUUUAUAUUGAACACCGUAUUUAGAUAGUUACCCGAGUAUUUCACAUCCCAUUUCAUGCAUUAGUAUAGAUUCUGAAUUGGUUUUAUAACAAUUUAGCACAAAUGUAAUAAAUGGCUUAUUGUGCAUUAUGUCUAGGUGGUGAAUCCUCUGAAAAAGGGCAAAGAAAUUGCACCCGAUGAUCAAUAGUCGGAGUACUCCAAAAUUCAAACUCCUGAUACAGUGAGUAACCUUACUAUCGUCUUAAUAAUCUAAAGUAGUUUUUAUUCGUUUUUGUGAUUUUUAUGGAAAAUGAGUUUAAAUGGUAAAUCUUUAUGUUUUAUAAGCAAAAUGUGAUUAAAUGAAAUGAUUUUGUAAAAUUGUCUUGAAAUUGAAAGAUGGUUUUGAAAAUGGAGUAAUUGGAGACUAAUUGUUGUGUUAUAAAUCAUGGUUUGAAUUGAAUGGCUUAUGAUAAUAUUGGCAUGAAUGGUUGGAUUUGGUAAAUGUGCUGAAAAAGUAUGAACUGUUGAUUUGCCUUGAGAGGCUGUAAAAUAAAAUAAUUGUCAUGUCAUGCUGUUGAAUUUUAUUGAAUUGGUGGGUUAUAAUUGGUCGCUGUAGUGGACGGGUUUCGUCGACCAGCCUAUUAGAGGGGCACAGUAACCCUAUUAUAUUCAUACCUUAGUAUGAGAGGUGCGAUUGGAUAACUCUUGAGGUUAAAACUUUAGAGUUCACUUCACGUCAAACCACCACGUGAGGGUGAACUUAGCCAAAGCCAAGAAACGACUAUAUUUUCAAAAUAAAAACAUGAUUUAUGUGUACAUGACUUUUAACAACCUUGGUGGACUCGGUUGGGAUAGCCCCAGGACAAGGUAUCCCUGAUAACUGAGUAUGAGAAUGAUUUUGGCAUGAGCCAAACUUUUCAGGAAAUCAUAAGCCUCGUUGUUUAUUUUGGUGAAAUGAAUCUAUUUUAUCUUAUUAAAAUGAGUUCGAAAUGCUGUGAAUCAUUUUUAUGUUAAACUAUUUUAUCUGUCUCCAUUUACUCAGUUUUAGAUAUUUUAGAUGGUAUUUGUUUACUAACUGGGAUUAUAUAAUCUCCCCAUCCUCCUUUUCACCCAUUUCAGGCUCAAGAUAGUCGGUAGAUAGCUCACUUUGUUGAGGGCUACAUUUGGACUUGCAUCCUCAAAAAUUGUAAGUUUACCGUUUUUGAUACUUUUCGUCGUUCGUGGACCCACGUGUCACUGUAAAUUAAAUUUUAUACUUUGGUUAUUUGUAUUACAGUAUGUAUGAAUUUAUUUAGCUCUUACGCUACUAAAAUUAUUUACCGAUAACUCUAUAAAUAUUGUUUUAUAUGAAAAUAGAAUAUUUUAUUGAAUAUUUUUAUUAUAUUCAAAUAGUUAUAAUUUCACUUUAAAUGAAUGUUUUAGAUGUCUAAACUUAUUUUUGAUUAUGAAAUAUGUGUUUUCCAUUUGCAUACUACAUUUUUAGCUAGUUUCGAGAUUUUUGAGGAAAAAUGACCAAAAUACCCCUGUGUAGUUGAAAUUUCUCUUUGACUGUUUUUGAAUUGAAAUUGGUUCAUAUCACUUUAAAACAUGAUUUUAGUAACUAAUACUCACAAGGGAAGCGAGAAAACUGAUGUUAAGCCUUGCGAGGUUUCGAUUGGUAUUCCGAGAAAUGAAUGUCUAUCGGGACAUCGCGGCGGUUUUCAUGGGCUCGAUGGGAGUUCCGGGUCGUGACAAUAACUAUAUUCUAGUACAAUAUAUAGUGUAUUAAUAUAUUACUAUAUAUAGUUAAUAUAUAUUUAUACAGUAUAUAAGUAUUCUAAGAAGUCAUAUAAUGUUUAUACCAUAUAAUAGUAUAUUGUUAAUAAGUAUACUAUACAAUAUAUUUAGUAUAUUGUUAUAUAUUAUAAUAUAAUAACAUUAACUCAUUAAGUCCUUAAUAUAUCAAAAUAUAGUAUAGUAAUAAGUUAUUAUAUUUAAUUACUAAUAUAAGUUACACUAUAUUACUAUAGUUUAUUAAUAACUUAUAAAAAGUAUGUUACUAUAUUCUAUACUCUAUAGCAUAUAGACUAUGUAUUGUAUAUUAAUAAAUAUGAUAUACAAAGUUUAAUAUAUUAAUAAGUUAAUAUAAAAAUAAGUUAAUAUAAUAAGUUGCAUUAGUAUAUUAAUAUAUUAAUAACUAAAAUUUAGGUUAUAGUUUUCAUUAUAUCUUGUAUUAUGUUUAAUUUUAGGAUAAAAUACCCUUACCCCCCUAAGUUUUAGUUGCAAUUAUACAGAGGUCCAUUAGUUUUCAAAAUUGACACUCUGCCUCUAGAAUACAAACACUGUUAAUGGAAAUUAUGAAAAGACUUAAAUGCUCUUUUUUAAUUAAUUUAAAAAAUUAUUAUUAUAUUUUAGAACAAAUAAAAAAAUAGGGAGUACUGAUUUGUGCACCCUAGCUCCCUAAGAAAGGGGAGCACCGACCAGUGCUUCCAAGGGAGGGGAGCAUCGGUUGGUGCUCCCAAAGAAGGGGAGCCCCAAUCAGGCUCCUCAAGGGAGCACCGAUGCUUGGGGCUCCCACAUGGGGAGUUUUUUUAUUUAAUAAAAAUAAUAAUAUUUAUAAUAAUUAAUCAAUGGUAAAAUUAUCUUUUUACCCUUGCCACGUCAACCAGUUGACAAAAAUACUAAUGAUUGACUAACGGCUGGAUCUACAUGUCAAGCCCAACCUUAUAAAGUACUUGCCAUGUCCUUUAUGUGAUUGACAAUAUGCUUGUAAACUUGAAAAGCCCCGAAAAAUUGUCAAAAGUCGAUAUUAUACCAAAUGAUACUAUUAAGUUGAAUUAAGCCUCGAACUAGCCUAAAUAGAGAUCUUAAGAUGAAAUUGAGAAUUUUAAAACCCUAGAAUGACUAAAAAAAUGAUUUGGAGUUUGAGGGCUGAAUUGGAGUCAAUUUGGAAUUUUCAUGUUCUGGGGGUAAAAUGAUAAUUUUAUCACCCGAGGGAAAAAUGGAAAUUUUUAGAAAAGAUUUUGAUCACAUUUGACUCAUUAGAGUGUGAUUUGAGUUUGAGAGGUGAAAAUUUUAAAUUCUAAUAUUUUUGGAGUCCUACGGGUAAAACGAUAAUUUUACAAGUUUACGGGGGCAAAGUUGGAAUUUUAAAAUUUUACACCACCUAACACUUGUCAUGCCCAUGGAUUUCAGCCAUUAAUAUUUUACAUUGUUGAUAAUUGAAACAUUUUAUGUGGUGGAGAGAGAUUGCUUAAUGGAUAAGUAUUACACAUGGACCGAUGGAAACAUGCCAUGUGUCAAGCUUGGAUUAUUCUUGAAUUUCCUUGUAAAAUCUAUUUACAACUCUCUUAGCCUCACCCAUAUGGCCGGCCAAAGAUGAAGUGAAGAGGAAAGGAAAGAACACAAACCCUAAGUGGGAAAAUUGAAGAAAAAAGUGUGGGAUUUCAAAGGAUUAAGCUAAUAAAGGUAAAAUUUGUGAUUUUAUCUUGUGAUUUACACUACCCAUGCUUUCUUUUUCAUUUCCAUGCUUAGAACUCAAGUUUACAUGAUGAACCAAUGCUGGGCCGAAUUUGAGAGGAGAGGUUUGGAGCAUUGAUUUUGCUAGAUUUCAAGCUUAUUAAGUGUUUUUGGUUGUUUGGUAAUGAAAAGUAUGAAAAUCUAGCAAGGAUCACUUUGUUCUUCACAAACCCACAAGAGGCUGAAUUUUCUAGGGAGGAUAUUGAGGCGGAAAUUGAUGAUAUUUCAUGAUAUUUUGGUGUCAUUUAAUGAUUGGUGAGGCUAGAAAUUUAAUGGGAAAAUUUGGCAUGAAAAUCUGAAUUUUUACCUAAUGUAUAGACAUGUGCAAUUUAUGGUUCGGACUGAUAAAUUGAAUCAUAUUCACAGUCAUUGAGGUAUUUUAAUUAUAAUUGGAGAGUAGAAAGUGAAAGAAAUCGAUUUGGAGUUAAAUUGGAGGUUUUAGCCAAUUACACUGAGAAUACUGCGAAUUAGGUCGAAUAUCGUAUUUAAACGGCUAUUCUGACAUUUUGCAUCACAUUCGUGCAUUCAUAUAGAUUUAUAGAGCCUGAAAUAGUUUAAGAUAAAUUGACACAAUUUAUUGAAAUUCGUGUCACGUAUGAUGUAUAGGUGGUGAGCCCUCUAACAAGGGUAAAGAGAUUGUGCCCGAAGAUCGAGAAUAGGAGUAUAUCGAACUCCUAGUACUAUGAGUAACCUUACUAUCGUCUUAAUUAUCUAAAGUGGUUUUUAUCUGAUUUUGUGAAUUUCAUGGAAAAUGAAUUAAAUGAUUAAUUUUUCGAUUUUAUAAACCAAAUGUGAUUUAAUGAAAUGAUUUCAUAAAAUUGUUUUAAAAUUGAAUAAUGGCUUUGAAAAUAGAGUAAUUGGAGACCAUUUGAUGUAUUAUGAAUUGAUGGUUCUAAUUGAUUGGCUUAUGACAAUAUUGGCAUGAAUGGCUGAAUUGGAAUUUGUGUUGAAAUGUAUAAACUGUUGUUUGCCUUGACAGGCUGGAUAAUGAUGAAAUUGUCAUGUCAUGCUGUUGCAAAUUUUAUUGUAUAGUGGGUUUAGCUUGCUGCAGUGGGCUGGUUCUGUGGAUUAGCCUAUUAAAGGGGCACGAAACCUGGUCAUAUUCUUACCUCGGUUGGAGAGGCGAGUAGGGUAACUCUCGAGGUAUAACUUUUAGAGUUCACUUCACGCCAAACCACCACGUCAGGGCUAACUCAGCCAAUGCCAAGGAACGACUAUAUUUUUUAAAUAAAAAACAUGAUUUAUGAGUACAUAACUUUUUAAUAGCCUUGGCAGACCCGGUUUGGGAUAGCCCACGGCCAAGGUAUCCCUGAUGACUGAGUAUGAUGAUGAUUUUGGCACGAGCCAAAGUUUUAAGAAAUUCAUAAGCUAUGUUAAUUACUUGAUUUAUAUGAAUUGAUUUUAUUUGGUUGAAAUGAGUUUGAAAGGUGAUGAAUUUCAGUAUGUUAAACUGUUUUAUCUGUCUCCAUUUACUCGACUUUAGAUGGUUUAGAUGGUAUCUGUUUACUCACUAGAAUUUUAUAAACUCACCACCCUCCUUUUCAACCAUUUCAGGCCCGAGGUAGCCUGUGGAUAGCAGAUAUCGUGAAGGAUUUUAGUCGGCUUUACUACAAAAACUGUAGGUUUACUACCUUUGUGCACUUUUGUUGAUUGUGGGCCCCGAGUCACUGUAAAGUAAAUUUCAUAUCCUGAUCAUCUGUAUUAUAGUACGUAAGAAUUUAUUUAGCUUUUACAUUACAAAAAUUAUUUACUGAUGACGCUAUAAAUAUUGUUUUACAAGAAAUUAGAAUAUUUUAUUGAAUAUUUUUUUUAUUCAAAUAGUUGCAAUAUCAUUUUUAAUAAAUGUUUUAGACACCCAAAUUUAUUUUAAAUCAUGAAAUAUGUGUUUUCCACUCAUCUACUACAUCUUUAGUCAGGUUCGGAAAAUUU